rnacentral:lncRNA from 1 species
AAAAAAAAAAAAAAAAAGGUUAAUAGUAGCCACUUUGUACUUAGAAUUGUGUUAAGCAAAAUUGUAAUAUCCGAGAAUUUGUAUCUAUUUUCGCAAAUUUGUCGUGAAAAUAAACUGAUUUAGUGCAAAUUUAGCUCACCGCUCAAGUGACAACAAAUGCCGAUAUUGCUGUCAGUACUCGGUGAAUCUUUUAAGACAGACUGAAAUGUUUGAUUCGAAAAAAAUGAAGAUGGAGCAGAAUGUGUUGGCUUUAAUGAGCCAGCAUCCUACCUUGUGCAGGAGGUCAGGUUGGGCCAAGUCAUAUUAGAAAUGGCGUGAGGCUGGAUUGGGUCGAGUCAUGUUUGAAGUGGCGUGAGGUUGAUUUGGCCGAGUCACAAUCGAGACCCGUGGACUCCGUCUCUAUACACUUUAAGUUAAUUGGUUGCGUAUUUUUAACAGUUCGAGUUUUUAGAAUUAAUGAUUAGUACCAACGAUCCGACAGAAUGCUGGUGGAAAAAUUUAAGGUCAUGAAAGGGUUUUGCGUUGCGCGUGCCUAGGAGAAACAUAAUCUGAAUUUGGUGGUCACUCGACAACAAAUUUUGGUACACAUUACGGCGCGCAAUUAAUCAGUUGAAAUCAGUAUAUAUGCUAAAGGAUUUCUGUUUCUUUUUCCUUUUUUUCUUUUUUAUCGUUCUAGGCGAGCGAAAGGUGCAAGUUCUUUCUAUGGUGCGACAUGGCCGGUCCCAAUCAGCAGAAUGCUCACAACAGUAGCCCUGCGAAGCCCUACCAGCGGCGUGGUAUCGACAGCCCAGUGAAGCCCGUCGCGAAAAGCCCAACCAAGCACGUCCAGCUAAACGGUCCCGCGAAACCGACGACUCCUAUUUGCUCCUGCGGCGCCGGGCGAUGCAGCAUUCUGAUGAUGCAAAACGGCGUCAACUCGGGCCGCAAGUAUUAUGCCUGUGCUAUCAAGAAGGUAAUGCUGUCCAUCAGUUCGGUUUAAAUAUAUAACAAUUGAUUCGUAGUAUUUUGUUUUGCAUUAAUUCAUGUUGAAUGUAGAUAUCAAAAAAACCAUUCUCUCGUAGUUUAAGCUGUUUUUGGAGAAUAACAGUUAUUUCAUAUAAUUUAAUAUGGUAUCAGCGUUAUUAUUAUUAUUAUUCUCCUCUUUAAUUAAUUGAAGUCCACGUUUUAGGCCUAUUAAAACGUCUCGGGCCCAGACGUGAAACUCUGUUCUCUGGUUGUUUCAUAUUAUUUCACAGUUUGAUCCUCGUAAGUUCUUGUAUCAUAAAGCAUCGAGAUCGACAAUUAUCUCGAAGCUCAAAAUUGAUCCUCAUCGGAUAACAGGUAGUUUGAAAUUUCAGGAUUUGUUCGAAAUAACUACUAACUUAAUCCAGAAUAGUGGGUUUUGAUUCUUCAUUUUCUACUUUGUGUGCUUCUUUGUUUUUAAUUUCUUUUUCUCUCAGUCGCAAAAUAUAUGUUGUGUAAAAAUUUAAUGUUGUGCAUUGUCGAUUCGUGUAUAAAAGAUUGACGUCGAUGGUAGCAUCAUAAAUGACUCGUAUUUGUUUCCUGCUUUAUAUCCCCUCAAAAUUCCUUCUUUGAACUCGAUCCGCAGUUUUCGGUGUUCUCAGUUGACGUGAUUCAGAUGCAGCAAUUGUGAUUGCGCAUCUUUUAUCCGUUCUUCGACAUCGAUUUUUCGCGUCGAAUAUUUCAUCUUUUCUUCCUGUUACAAAGCCCAAAUUGGGUUAUUGACUUUUCUCUUUCCAGGGCCAGGGAGCCUGCAAUCACUUCCAGUGGCUUGAUGAAAUCGCGGGAAAACCGCCCGAAACAGGAAAUGCCGAUUUAAACGAACUCAAGCUCAAGCUCGCGAGUUCUGAUCCUGUUUUGCAGGAUAACAAGAACAUCGGUGAAAACAAGGCCCCAAAAAUGAACUGCAACGGCGAAGCACACGAAAUCGACGAUGCCGCAUUAAUGCAGUUACCGCUGGACGAGCCGCCCGUCCUGCGAUCGCCGCCGGUCUCACCGAAGAGGCAACCCCAAGCGAGCGACGAAAUCCGAACUUCCCCGAUGAAAAGGCUCAGUUUACACGACGGCACACCGCCGGUCUCACCGAAGAGGCAACACCAAGCGAGCGACGAAAUCCGAACUUCCCCGAUGAAAAGGCUCAGCUUACACGACGGCGUGCCGAGCGUGCCGGGGAUCGGUAAAUGCUACCGAUGCGGCCGCGAAGGACACUGGAUGGCCGAGUGCGCCUCGCCUGCAGUCAGUCCCUGCUUCCAGUGCGGCAAGCCCGGGCACUGGAAGAAAGACUGCCCCGAGUUUCGCUGACUCUGAUCUUCAGCUAGUUUUGCCCUAAGUUUAUUGUCAAAAAAACAUAUUGUUCAUGCUAUAAGUGGCUAAUGUUAUGUGUGUUUCUGUGAUUUAACUCUUCCUUACUGGAAUAGUGGGAGAACUUCUAUUGUUAUAUAUAUAUAUAUAUAUAUAUAUAUAUAUAUGCUCUCUUGUGUAAUAGUAUUUUCUUUUGGUUAUUCCUGUUUACAAUUACACCAUUUUAGUGAAAUAUGUAUAAAAGAAAAAAAAAAGUAAAAAUGUAUAAAAUUUAGCUUGAAUUAUAAAUUAUUUUUAUUCGAGUACCUCCUAAUCUUUCAAAAUUUUGAUUUUAGUGCCUGAUCUUUUAUUUUGUUUGAUUUAAAUAAUUUAAUAAUUAUUUACUUUAAUAAAUUUACAGUUAUAUAAACUGUAUAGAGUAUAGUGUUGGGAACCGGAUGGAUCGUCCGUCAUGUGCUACCAACAAAGAUGCACGAAAAAUAGAGAAAAUCGAUCGAACGGUAAAAGAAAUAAAUGCAGAAAGAAGAAACCAAAAUUUACGUGGUUCGGCAAUUGCCUACGUCCAUGGGGAGAGCGAGAGAAAUGUAUUCCACUAUAUGAAGAAACAGAAGUAUAAACUUACACCUUAUGUCUUCUCCGGAUAAAAAACCAAUAACCUUAUGGUGAAUCACACCUUUCUUGUUCCAACGAAAACUCCAAGAAAAUACCGAAAAAGCUUUUCGUAAAAUCGAGAAGACCAAAUUAGAGAAGUAUAGAAACUCUAACCAAAUUCCUUUAUGCCGUUGCUUCGAAGAAUCCGAACCGCUCAGACAAUUGGUUGAGAACCGUCGCUCUGCCGCCGACUUAAAUCCGUCGCAUGCAAGACCGCGACACCUUCUACCGUACGGACGAGGCACCUUAAUUAAUUAGCUAUUCACCGGAUGCUAAUUAAUUUUCCUCUAUACCCCCUCAAGAACCGUACAUGCCAACCGGCCACUUAAUUAUGUUGCUAAUUAAUUUCAGCCUUACUCGACACCAAGCCAUGCAUGUAUAUAUAUAUAAGAGAGGGAUUUGGCUCAAACCUACUCUAAUUCAAUUGAAUAUAGAGUCAUAUAUGGAAAACUAAUCCUAGUCUAUUUAGGAUUCCAAUUUAAAUUAGGAUCCACCAAAAUAAAUUCUCAUAAGAUCCUUUUUAUUUUUCCAUAAAUCCGGUGUAUGAACCAAACCAAAAAAGAAGGCAUAUCUUUCACAUAUAGUAACUAAAUCUCUUAAAAGAUAAACGGUGUAUUCAAAUUUUAACGGUAAAAAACCACUAAUUGGCUUAAAUCAAAUUUCGUAAUUUAGGCUUAAAAAUAUGAGAAUUGUUUUGUGCAUGAGUGCACGUACACACCGGGUUCACGGAAAGAUUUACGCAGACGUAGACCCUUCCCGAAGCCGCGAACACCAUCCUCACACUUGUAGCAAACCAACGGUUCAGAUCAGAUGAUCUUUAAAAUCCUACGGCCACGAUUCGCUAAUCACCACUAUAUAAACCCGUCACCAUUUCGUUUCGCGAGUUUAAACGAACACUCUCCAAUAAACGACCGACUCUGGGGUUUUUUCGAUCAUUCGCUAGGGUUUUAGCCUUUUUUCUCGAUCAAAAUGGUGGGUUUCGCUCCCUUUUUUGCUCGAUUUCGAUCUCGAUCUCUUAUUGUUUUUCUUUUUGUGGGUUUAAUUCUGAUUUGAUUUGAUUUUUGGUGGUGGUGGUGAUAAUGUUGAUUAGGUUCUUCAAAAUGACAUCGAUCUCCUCAAUCCCCCUCCUGAGUUGGAGAAGAAGAAGCACAAGCUCAAGAGGCUCGUCCCAUCCCCCAACUCCUUCUUCAUGGUGAUUCCCAAUUCCUUCUCCGAUUUUAUUAUAACAUUUUAUUUGGAUUCUAACGUAUAAUUUUUCUUCUUUUUUUUUUUUCUCUCUCCUUUUUCAAACUAUUUGUAGGAUGUGAAGUGCCAGGGUUGCUUCGCCAUGUAAGUUUUCGCAGCUUCAAAAUUUUUAAACUCUGUGUUGUUUUCAAUUCGAUGAUCGAAAUAUGUACAUUUGAUGUGUGGUUGGUAAACUUGUUGCGAAGUCUCAUUUGGUUAAUUGAAUCAAAAUUUGUCGCUGAAUUUUAGAACUGCUGUUCGAUGAAGUGCGGUGUGGGCAGCGCUUUUAGGAAAAGCAAUAUUAAGAUUUUCUCAGCAGAUUCAGCAGAAGUAAAAGCAAAUUUUUCUUUUUUUUUUUUUUUUUUUUUUUGCUAAAUCAUAAAAGCAAAAGCAGGACCAAACAGUUGGUUAAUUUCUAGGGUAAAAUGUGUAGCGACCACUCGUGAACUUUAACUCACUUGCCAAACAGGCGUAUGAACUUUCAAUUUUGAUAAAGAGAUCUCUUAAACUUUUAUUAUAUAGUUCAAUAAAGUAAAAUUAUUAAUUACAUGAUCAUUUUGAUCUUAUAUAUUGUAUGUAGUUUUAUAAGGCUUCCAAACGCAAUAUAUAUAUAUAUAUAUAUAUAUAUUUUUUGGUAUUCUAACAUAUAAUAAAAGCGAAAAAAAUUGAAGUUUAGUUUAAUUUAUUUUUCGAUCGUCAUGCUUAAUUACCAAAAGUGAAAGCGAAUAUAUAUAUAUAUAUAUAUAUAGGCCGUGGCUACUAUACUAUUAUGAGUAUUGGAGCCCUCGUACUCAUAAGUUGUUUUCGAUGAUGGAGCUUCCGAAUCGACGAUCCACUCCGUUAAAUAUGAUCUAAAGUAUUUGAAACUUCUAGAAAAUAAAUUUCGUAAAUUUUCGAAAUCAUAAUAAAGCUCGUCAAGCGGGCAUAAAAUGAACGGUCAAAAUCGAACGACGUACUAAAAAAGGAUGAUCGGAUCCUUCAAUUCAAGAUCAGAGUUAUUGAUCUUUAUCUAGGUAGUGAAUAGAAUUUUUCUAUCAAGAAAUUCAACCAAUUCCGAUUCUUUACAAGCCGUUAAAGCUAGCAAGUAUUCGCAUACCGGGCCGAUGUACAAUGUAUCAACUUUGUGAUAUUUUGAUCGAGGUAAUGAUGUUGAAAACAUUAUAAAUUCUGAUUUAUUUGCGUUUUAAAUGCGUGUACCCAAAUAUGAACGUUUAAUCGUAUUGGAUCGUCGAUCUCGGCAAGCAUCUUAUCAUCGAAAGAUUUAUAGGUACAAGAGCGAGUGUAGCUCAUAAGUAGUCAUAGUAGCCAGACCCUAUAAGAUAUAUGAUAUAUAUAAUAUGAAAUUCGAGUUAGAAUACUAUCGGUAUUAACUGGGUGGUUUCUUUACGUGGCCACUAGGGGUGGAAACGAGCCAGUCAAGAGCGAGCUUCCUCGGCUCAAAUUCGGCUUGAAAUAAUUUGCGAGCACUAAUUUAAGCUCAAGCUUGGAUUAAAUUAAAUUCAGCCGAGCUUCGAGCGGCCUAAUUGUGAGUCGGAGCAGAGCUUCGAGCCCUAAACGAGCCGCGUGAAAUUCUCAACAUAUACAAUCAAUAGUUUUUAAUUGUGAUACGAACCAUUAUCUAUAAUUUGUUACAAAAAUAUGCUCAUAAUAGUUCAAAGGUACAGAAAUAAUUAUUGAAAUAUGUAUUGAUAAUAUGAAAAAAAAAAUUUAUGAGUUGAAUAUCUAAUCUUUUUCCGCCUCACAUGUCUUUUCGUUCGGCGGACUUCAAUCUGCCAUAUUAUCUUCAUUUUUAUUAUUGCAAUCAAAAAUAAAUAAAUUAUAUUAGAUAAAAUAUUGGAUUAAACUAUCCAAUGCAUAUAUAACUACAAAUUAAAAUUUUAUAGUGAAUAAUAAUUUUUUUACUGUUAAAAAUAUGCUAUAAUAUUUUUCCUCAAGCAUACCAAUUAAUAGCCAAGGGACCUUGUAAGUGCAACGGCGGGUAUGAUUGCUUUGGAGGCUUCCGCGCUUGCCACUUAGGACGAGAAUAGAAAAGAGCAAAUAGAGAAACAGUAGUACAAAUUUAGAGCUCUGUGAAAGGAAAGAAAGAAGAAGAAAGAAAAAAUUCUAUAAAUCUAGUUAAAAUUUUGCUUCUUUUAUUUGUCAUUGGGUUUGUGUUUUAUGGCCAAACAUCUGCGCGCCGCCAAUUAACUAAACUCAGAUGUAUUCACUCAAGCCAUACUAUAGUUAUAUUAAAAUAUAAUAUAUUUCUAUAUAUUUUUAAUAUAUAGUAUUAUAGUAUAUAUAAUUAUAUACUAUAUAGUAUACGAACUUAGGCUGGAUAUACUAUUAAUUGUAGAAACUGCUCUUUUGCUGUCAAAGUUUUUAACGCUUGGAUGAAAAUUGUAAGCUGUCGGAUGAUAUUAGUGCGGAUUGGAGUUUGAAUUGGUCCGCCCUAGGGUUGGAGUGUUCCCCACUGGGAUAUAGUAUUAAUUCCAAUGUAUAUAAAAUAAUGAAAGGAGUUGUUCAAAGGCUAAAAAACUGGUAGCAACAAUGGGAUUGUUGCUACUGAUAGUAGCCAGUCUCAACUCUCUCUCUCUCGUCCAGACUCUCGAAUCUCGUCUCACUCUCUCUCUCUCUCUCUCUAUUAUAUAUAUAUAUAUAGUCUAUAGUAUAUAAUAUAUAGUAUAAUAAGAGCUCUGUGCUCAUAAUAGCACAGCAGGCCCUACAAUAAUAAUAUAUAUAUAUGAGUAUGGCGGCGCUAGAAUUACUUUACAAGUAUCCCGAAAGGAUACUUGUGUGUUAUUUAACGGCAUGAUCUACUUUUUGAUUACUAAUAAGCCUUUAGAUCAAACACUAUUCCAACACUACGUCACCGACUACCACGCAUCCAUUUCAACCUAACUCUCCAUCCAAGGCUACCAAACACAACAAGUAUCACUGAGUGAUACUUUACAGAUUAUCUGCUCUACUCUAUCUCGGUCUCAUCGUGUGGGCCGGAUAUUGGGACCCAGUUUAUUUGUAGGAGUUAUUCGUUCAUCCGCCGUCUCUCGUCUCUCUCUAUAUAAGGUAUAUGAUAUAUUAUAUAUCUAUUAUAGUUAGUGUAAACACUAACUGAUCGAAAAUAUAGAGAAUUUGAUGUUUUCGGAAUUUUGUACCACGUUUGAUAAUAAAUGUUAUGGUGUGGGAUAAUUGCGGUCCUUUCCUAGGAUUAAAUAAUAUCUUAGGAUUGAGUGGUCCUACCAGAUAAUAAUAGUAUUCAAUCCAAGAUAAAAAAUGAUUAAGGGCGAUCUAAAUCAAAAAAUCACAAAGCACAAAUCCGCUUACCUUUUGAUAGGCAUAGUAGCUUAAUUAUAUAUAUAUCAGGUAGUAUAUAUUGGAUAGUAUAUAUAUCAUAUAAUAUAUAUAAUAUAUAUAUAGUAUAAUAUUCGAGCUUUUCGAGCCUAAUUCGAACAAGCCGAGUAAUACUCAAGCUCGGCUUGAAAUGAAUUUCGAGACUUUUUUUUUGUUCAAGCUCGGCUCAUUAAAUUUCGAGUCGAGCUCGAGCGAGCCAAAUAUCGAGUCGAACGCGAGUCGAACGCGAGCGGGCUCGCUUAUUUGCCAGCCCUAGUUGCCACAUGUUUAUUUUCGAUGAUGGAGCCUCCAAAUCGAUGAUCGACACUGUUGAAUAUGAUCUAUACCACUUGAAGUAUCUAGAAAUCAAACUUCAUGCUUUUCUAAUAUUGUUCUCUUGUCCAUCAAAUGGGCGUAAAAAUGAACGGCUGAAAAUGAAUAUUCUCUAAAAAGUGAUAAUAGGAAUUUUGUAAUCAAGAUUGAGAGUAUAGACCUUAUUCUAAAUAGUUUACAGAAUUUUCUAACCAAAAUUCAAUUGAUUUGGAUAGCUUUACACCGUUAAAUGAGAAAACGCCUCAUAUCUAUCAUUAAAAUUACAAAUUUGAAACCCUUUGAUCAAUAGGUCAAUGAUGUCGAAAAGAUUUGAAAUUUGGUUUCUAGAUACUUCGGGUGGUAUAGUUCAUGUUCAACGAUGCCGAUCGUCAAUUUGAAGGCUCCAUCAUCGAAAACAAACAAAUGGGUGGCAACGAAGCCGGUUUGCUACCGAUAGCAUUACAGCUCAACUAUAUAUAUAUAUAUGAAUUAGGCUGGAAUACUAUUAAUAGUAAAAUACUCUUUUUGCUAUCAAGUUUUUAACCCUUGGAUGAAAAGUUGUAGGGUCAGAAUGAUAUUAGUCGGUUAGAGUUGAGUGGUCCCCCUAGGGUUGAGUGGUCCCCACUGGGUUAUAGUAUUUAAUCCAAUGGUUAGAAAUAAUGAAAAGAGUUGAUCCAAAGGCUAAAAAACCGGUAGCAAUAAUGGGAUUUUGCUACUAAUAGUAGCCCAGUCCAACUCAUAUAUAUAUAUAUAGAGAGAGAGAGAGAGAGACUAUAUAUAUAUAUAUAUAUAUAUAUAUAGAGAGAGAGAGAGAGAGAGAGUUAGGCUAAUAUACUAUCGGUAUCCGUGCUACUAAGUUUUCAAUGAUGCAGCUUUCAAAUCGACGAUCGGCUCCGUUAGACAUGAUCUACACUAUUGAAAGUAUUUGGAAACUAAAUUUCAUAAUUUUUCGGCAUCAUUUACCUAUCAAACGAGUAGUCUACAAAUGAAUGGCUGAAAAUAAAAAUCUCAUAAAAAAUGAUGAUAAAAAACUUGAAUUUAAAAUCAAAGCUAUUGAUCUUACUCUAAAUAGUGAAAAAAAAUUUCUAUAAAAAUUUCAUUAAAUUUGGAUUGUUUUACACUGUUAAAUUCACAAACGCAUCACAUCUACCAUUAAAAUUGUCAAUUUUGGAACCUUUUGAUCACUAGCCAAAUGAUGUCGAAAAAUUAUAAAAUUUAGUUUCCAAAUACUUUUAAUAGUGUAGAUCAAGUCUAACAGAGCCGAUCGUCGAUUUGGAAGCCGCAUAAUUGAAAACAACUUGGUAGCACGGAGGUUUCCAUGCUAACGAUAGUAUACCAGCCUAGCUAGAGUCCGGCUAUUAUACUAUUAAUAGCACGAAACACUUGAUACUACCAAGUUUUCUGCCGUUAGAUCUACCGUUUUGAUCAUUUUCACCCGUUAUAUCAUAUUAUUCAACUAAUCACCCACUCAACCCUAGGAGAUCACUAUCAUUCUAACCGCACAUUCUUUUAUCUAAAGGCCGAAAACCUAAUAGCAAGUGGUUGGUACUAUUAAUAGAUAUAUAUAUAUAUAAUAUAUAUAUAUGUCAGAACUAGCUGCAAUACUAUCAAUAGCACCAAGCUAUUAGUGCUAUUGAAAUUGUUUAGAACCUUGGAUUGAGAAAUGCGUGGUAGAUGAUGUGGCCCCAUAGUUGAGUGAGUGUUUGGUUUGAAUAUUAUGAUCAACGGGUAAAAAUAAUCAAUUAGGUUUAAUCUAACGAUAGAAUACCCUAGCGCGGACUCUCUCCUCUCUCUCGUCUCGCAAUGCCCACUCGCCCACGGCUCUCCAAGACGCAUAGAGAUAUAGACCGCGGACGGACGUAUGUGAUUGAGGCGAGCGUCCAGUGAAAACGACAGACAGCCAACCUUGUAUAUCUCCUCAGUCUCGAUAGGCGGAAUAGUUAGUAGUAAGCUCUAUUCCUGCGGAGACCCGAGGCCGUGGGCCAUCCUCGACACCGGGAUCCACAUAAGGCGUCAGCCUCAAUAACCAGGCCGAUAAUCCUCUUCCUCCUCUGCUAUAUAUAUAUAUAUACUAUAUAUAUAUAUAUAUAAAAUUGUAGCUCCUAUGCUUUAAAAGUACCAAGUUAUGGUACUUGCCUACAACAAAACUAUUCUAAGCGGCGAUUUAUUUUUUCAAUUAGGCCGCAAUUACAAUUGCCAGGCUAAAAUAUUUGUGGCAAUUUUAACAAUUGCGCUAUUGCAGGGUCGCUUAAAAGUUUUAGCGGCAUUUAUUCCGGCGGUUGGUAAAAAAUUCAAAUAAAUGCCGCUAUAAUUUAUACAAUAACGACUAUUAUAAAUGCCAGGCUAAAUAGUAUGCAAUAACAACUAUUAUAAAUGCCCGCUAAAUAAUAGUACAAUAACAACUAUUAUAAAUACCGCUACAAUUAAUUAAUUGCCGCUAAAAACAUAUAAAUGAAUUGAUUAAUAAAGCUGUAUAGCGUUAAUAAAUUAAUAUUAAGAUACUGUGAUUAACAACUAAAAAUACUACAAUCAAUUGAAAUAUUAAAAAAUAUUAGUAACCAAAAAGCAUUAAUAAUUUGUAUAACAAAUAGUCUCAACUCUCAAAUUACAAUCUCAGAAUUCAAAUUAAAUUUCAAACAUAAGUUCUAACAAAAAAUACUUGUUCAAAAUGUAGCAAAAAAAUAACAAACACCGCAUGUCUUGCUUCCCACUUCAAUUUCCGCAGCUCUAGCUGAUCUGGAUCAACCCAAAAGAAGUCAUAAAAUUAGUAUCUGAAAUUAUCAAAUAAAAAUCAUCAUAUCAAAUUUCUGAAAAAUAUGAAAGUUAGGUUGUACUGAUUUGGUCUAGCUUUCUUUUCAUUUUGUAACAAUAGCAUUCAAAUUAAGUAAACAAGCACAUCUGAAAAAAAAAAAAAAAAGAACUAGCCAGCCAAUUAGUUAUAGAAGUUGAAUACAACAUAUCAUAAAUAAUUUGUAACGAAAAAUAAAGCGUGCAAAAGCACAGGAAACUGAACUGGAAUCUGAGAAGAAUAACCAAAAUACAACUUUUCAUAGUUAUAAUCAUCACAGAUGAUAAGGAGGGAAGAGAAGAGGAUAUGAUACAUGGUCAUAAACUUGUAAUUGGAUGCUAUUGAAGAGUAUUACCAGAAUUAGAAGGCCAAGAUGAUGCAAAGAGGAAAUUAUGGGCUAAUAUAUAUCUUGUGACAGAACAUGAUAGUCUAGUCCACAAAGAUAGUGAUUUUGAGCACUUAGUGAAGGAUUAUCAGAGAUGUGAACUAAUUUGUUUGUAUUUAGAUUAACCACUAUGUAAACAAGGCAGUAUAGCACCUUUUUGUAGGCCUCGCCUUUAGUUGGGCUUCCUUUUCAAGACCAAGUUUAUCGUUUAACCCAAGUUUCAAAUCAGGCAUCCCAGAAAGGAAGCACUUCAUCAAAAUCUUUCCAGUCACGUCACAACGUAAAACACUCCCUGUAAAAAUGUCAAGAAAUUUGCAGAAAACUAAUUACAUACUUCGGAGAAGGAAAAACAGAAAAAAAAAGGAAAAAAAAACAUCGAUAGAUGCCCACCCAUCAGAAUGAAUAAAUAUCAAGAGACUAUGUACCUUUAGAGGACAUAAGAAGAUUUACACUUGCAACUAUAUCCAGAAAAACCUGAGAUGUAUUACCAUGUGUAAGCUUACUUUCUCAUAAAAUUCAUAGAAAGAAGACUAAUUAAAGAAGUAGCACCUCAUUUUUCUUGUAAACAAGACCCUCACGCCUCCAACCGACAGCACCUGUAACUUGUAGAGUAGCAUUGGGUACAGGCCUAUCUGAGGACUUCAAUUACAGAAAGAAAAGGUAGUAAAAACAUGUUAAUAUAUUCCUUAACUGCAGAACUAAGCCAAUUAAGGUAAAAGUGUUAAACUGCGGAUGGAUGUGGUGUUAUACAAUGCAAGCUCAUCUCCAGUGCAAAAUUACAGAAUCAAACAUCCAAUAUAUCUAACCUUGGAAGAAAAUGGUGAACGGAAUCCUUGUUGAGUGAUGUAGAGCUUCAAUAUUUCAGGUGAAAGAUUUUGUGGGUAUCCAAAAUCCAUGAUCUCUGCAUAUUAAGCAAUGGUAUCACAUAGUGGAAGUUUUAAAUUAAGUACACCAAAUGCACCCUAAAGAAAUAGAUUUCUUUUUGAAUGUGCGAAGUGGGUAAGGGGGCAAGGAAUUCUUCAGAUAUUAAAUAACAUAAAUUGCAAAUUCACAAAAGACUCUUGAGGUACUCUUGGCUAAAUUACAAAGCACAAAAAGCCGAAAACUCUUAACCAGAUAUUCCAAAUUUGUAUGGGAUUUCAUUUUAAACGAAUAACAUAAUUUUACUAGAGCAUUAAUUCAUUAGUAAUGGCUGGAAAUGUUAUCCAAAAAUUGAUGCAAACAGCCAUAUUAAGUUCUAGUUAAGCAGUGUAAACCGACUCUACGAACAAUUUCAAAAUAAUUUUAAGCAAUUAUAAAGCCAUAGAGGAAUUAAACCACACAUAUAAAUUUCAAUUAACCUAACAUCUCAAUGGAUGAUGUGGCAUGCAAAAUCCAUGUAGUAUCAUCUACUUAAGUUGCUAUUUGAGUAGUGAUGUUGAACAAGUCUUAAGUUCAUUUCGUUAAGAUCCUCUAAGCAGAAUCUGAAGAAAGCCUGAAACAAACUUUUGUCAAAACUCAUUUCAACAUUAGAGAGAGAAGAAAGCCUUUAGCCGAAAACUCGGCUUCCGCUAUAUGAAAGUCAACAUGCUUCAACUGGCAUUGUGGGCUUAAAGAGGUUUUCAACGGCUUAGCUGGUUGCUCACUCUAUUCCUUAUGUGUGAGAGAAGAAGAUGACGAGGGGAAGAGAAAAGACAAAAACAAAGGAAAAAACAGUACUUAGAAAACACAUAAUAAAGAGUAAUAGUAAAUCAAUAAUAAUCGGUCAGUGAAAUUUAUCAAUUAGACUAGUCAUAAUGAUAAAGCGUAUAAGAUCACGAUUCUAUGAAGUUAUCAACAACGAAUGAUAAAUGUAGGAUUAGAAGGUUGCAGAAAUAGAUGUAUUAAACACUCUAAUCUGCAGAAACUGUUGCCUAGACCUGCAGUGUGGCCAAGCGAAUAUACGCUCAUCAGGUAAACAGCCGAGUUAUUAACCAAAUGCUACAUGAGAAUAUAAUUCAAAAUAUUACUGAUGAGUCAAUCUUGGUGUACUAAGAUGGUUGCUGAUGAUUGGUUUAGUUUUUCAUACUUUGAUCGACAUAUUAAAAUGACUAAGAGUUGGCAAUAAAGUAAGUACAGGAAAAAAAAAAGAAGAUAAUUUUACACAUAAUUGGUGGAAAUAAUACAAAUAAUAGUACAAAUUAACUGGCAUUAAUGCGACAACAAUUGUACAUCACCUUACUAAACCCCACUAAAUUAGAGAGAGAAGAUCCUGAUACCACAUUGAAGAUGGAGACCCAAGUUCGAAAUUGAAGGGUUAAAGGACGUAAGCACUAUUGUGAACGCAAUCUCUGUACAUUGCAAGUACUGUAUUUAGGUAGAACAAUUAGCUAUGUUGGUCUAUCCAUUCAUUCGUAUGACUUGAGCAUACUCAGUUGAUCUGAUUACUUGUUCCCAUUUUCUUGCUUCUGGGGAAGUCCACAUUCAUCUAUUUACCUUGACAUUCAUCUUAGACCCUCUAAGUGAUGUUCGUACAAGAAAAUUUGUCUUCUAAGAGAAGAUUCUUCUAGUUUUGCUCAGAUAAUACCUACUUGACUGUUUGUGCCUAGAAAAUUUUGGCUAGUGCAACAGUUUGAUCUUCAAAUUUUAAUUUAUUAUAAUUUUGGGCUCAUGCUUUCUAGAUUGUUGCAAUGCAAUCAAGUUUUACAGUCUAAUAUUAAUUUGACUAAAUGGUCACAACUUAAUUAAUAUUAAUCUCGCAUUUUCUCAAAUUUUUAUUAAACUCGAACAUUAAUCUCACAACAAUACAUCAAAAUUUACAUCACACGAUUGAACUAGAUCGACAUAAAGAGGACGAAAAUGAGAUGAAUACAUCCAAAAACCUUACAGUUGAUGAAAAUUAAAUCUCACCAUUAAUUCUACUAUAUUUUGAUACACAAACAUCAUAAUUUCAUCUUUGAUUCCUUUCCUCUGUAAAUUACACUCCUUUUCUUAUCUUAGAAAAAAAUUGGAUGCUACUGAUUCUUACUACUACAAAAACUACUGCAUCUUUCAACUCAAACAUGGAAUCACAUUGUAUUGCCACCAAAUCACAUUUAGGUAAAAUAGCAUAAUCGAUUUGACACAAUUAAGUUAGAGUCACUAUGGAUAAGGAAUCAGAAUACUUUGCAGUUGACAAAAUUCUCAAAUCGAAAUCAUAUGGUUUGAUUAACUUGAUUUCAAAUCUUUUUUCACUUGCACCAAGAACGGCCAGUCAUUUGAGAGUGCUCUUAUUUGGAAAUAUUAGUGGUUUUGUUUAACUUGAUUUCAGAUGCUUCGGAACGAUUUCAAAAAGUAUUAAGCAAAUUGGGUAAUUUUUUAUGACGAAUUUGCCAUGAUUUGUAAUUCUCAAAUAUAAAUUAAACAUAUCUAACCAGAAUACUCAAAAACUCCUUUACGGAUCCUGCAAGGAUAAAACAGAAACAGUGAACAAUAGAUUUCAAGUCAAUCACAUUCACUCCAAUUCAUGCGAAUUCACUGAUUUGAAAAUCAAUUCAAUUCUACUUUGAUUUGGUACCAAACAGCAUUAACAAAAUAAACAUACAGGUCCAGAUUGUGCAAUUUACAUGUUUCGACAGUUUCUAAUUUUACCAAAUGGGCUGAGAUAACUGCAUAUCUGUAUAAGAUGCAAUGUAUACAAUAGAAUCUGCUUCUAAUUAUGUUUUCUGGAAACAAAAGUCGAAAUCCUCAACAGUAAGAAAGUGGACAACAAAUCGAAAGUCGAAAAAGGAACUCUGGCUCGAAAAAAAAUAUUCAUUAGAUUUCCCUUAUGCUCAGCUCAUAUAUUUGAAUAAAUGACAACAUGAUACCACUGAGUCAAGUAGAACAAUAUUACAACACAUAAAUCACUAGUAAGUCAAGCAGAAAGAUAGAACAACAAAAAAAAUUUAGUUAAUCUUAGAAAAAAAAAACUGAUACAAAAAGCAGCAUAUGAUUAUUAUUAAUACAGUACAUCAUCUAAUUUAAAUCUUUCUAAUUAUUAUUUAGUAUCUGCAUAAAAAUGCUGAACAAUAACUCUCACAGCAAUUGGAAUCCUCACAGUGUGUUGGUCUAAUCCUCCCUACUCUAGCAUUCACAUAAAACAGAUCCAGAUCUCAAGAAGAAUUGAUUGUGGAUGUAAAAAGCAGUGAAAGAUCGGUGACGUCGAGGGAAGAAUGGGGACCUGAUGUCGAGAUCGGUGACGUCGAGGGAGAGCUGGGCGUGCUAGAGGGGAUUCUCGGUGACCCACACGGCGCGGUCGUCGCGGCUCCGCCAGAACCCUAGAUGCCGCUGUCGAGAGCUUCCUCAGCCACUCCUCCGCCGCCGAGAGCUCCUCCGCCGGAGACGACGCCGCCGCCGCCGAGAGCUCCUCCGCCAUGGAGAGCUCCUCCCCCGGAUCCGAGCUUAGAGAACGCCGCGACGCAGCUUGGAUCGAGAGGGGAGGGAGAGGGAGAGGGAGAGGGGGAGGGGGAGGGGGAGGGAUGUAGGGUUUGCGCGGGGUGGGGAUCGCGAUAGAAAAGGGCGCGACUGAGGUGUCGACUCAGGGGGGGGGUGGGGGGAUCGUGGGUUCAGAUCCGGGUGUGUGGUUAGGGUUGGAGUUGACGUUAAAGGAUUAUUUAUGUUUAUUAAUAUAAUAAAUAUAGUUGGUAAAUAUAUAUAUUUUGAAAAUAAUUGCCGCAAAAUGAUAAUUAAUAUAAUAGUAAUAGUUGCCGUUGAUAAUCACCGCUAAAUAAAUGCCACCAAAAUAUAGUUUUGUUGUAGUGUUGUAAGUUUUCGGCCCUUGAUUAAGGGAUGUGUGGUUAGGAUGUGAUUGUGGCCUCCUGAAGUUGACGUGGGUGGUUGGUUGAAUAAUAUAAUCUAACGGGUGAAAAUGAUCAAAGGUGUAGAUCUAACGGUAAAAAAUUUACAAGCACCACGUGCUUGGUGCUUUUACAAGCACCAUAGUCGGACUAUAUAUAUAUAUAUAUAUAUAUAUAUAUAUAUAUAUAAAGUUUUACAUAAAUAUCUGCAUGACAUUCGGUCAAAACGACUAGUUAGUAAGUUCACUUGAGGAGAGUGACUUUCUGGACUAUUUGAUAAAGUUUAAGGUGUCUCUUUACCAAGAUUAAGAGUUUAGGCACCUGUUUGUAAAUGAGCUAAAGUUCAGGGGUGUCCCUACAUUUUUUCCUAAUUUCUAUAUCGAUAGAUCAUUUAAUCAAAUUUAGUUGAAAUUACAAAUUAUGGAACCAUCUUGAGAUAUUAAGAUCCUACAUGCUACAUCACUAUUAUGAAAUGAUGCGGCAGCUAAUUCAGUGCUAUGUUAUUGUUGCAUCAUCUCUUAGAGACGGCAUGACAGAAUGAUCCGUUACCGCAUCAUUCCCUGUUUCAGGGAGGUCGAGUCAAGGAGAUCUAUCGUAGGUAGUGAUCCGAUGAAAACUGAAGCUAUAGUUUGGUGAAUCAACAAAUCAAAAUCUGAAUGAUCUAAUUGAUUGAAAUGGGACAUUGUGUGAUUUACCAACGAAGAAAAUAAUCGGGUAAACUAACACUUUUGGUUCGAUGUUUGCAGCACGACGGUUUUCAGCCACUCGCAAACGGUGAUUGUGUGCGCGAACUGCCAGACGGUGCUGUCCCAACCAACCGGCGGUCGCGCGAAGCUCACCGAGGGCUGCUCCUUCCGCAAGAAAGGCGACUAACUGCAGCGGUGCGUCACCUCCCGCGCCCUUUCCUCUCAUACUUUGUGAAUAUUCGCUGCUUUCUGGGAGACGAGUUUGUUAUCUUAUAGAAGAUUAUAAAAAAAAAAAAAAAAAAAAAAAUUGUAGUUCUGAGUUUACGUGAGUUUUAAGUUUCCACAGUAUGUUCGUAGAGAAUGGCGAAACUGGGUGUGUAUGCACAUGUUUUGUUGUGUAAAAAACUGGCACUUUGAGUAAAGCAUGGUCGGAGUUUUCGCGAUUUUGUGUUAAAAAGUAAUGUUUGAUGGAUUUCUCUGUUUCCGGGUUCAUUUGGUUGUAAAAUAAAACUUUGUGAACCAUAAAAAAUAAGAAUAAAAAAAGUAUUGGGCUAGCACAGGCCUGGCCGGACCCAUUCAGGCCUGAGGGCCAUGCUAAAGUCGCGGGCCUGAAAAAUUUUGCAUGGCAUGGCGCAGGCACCGUCUGAAUAUGAUUUGUAGCUGGGGCAAGUCGGACUGACUCUGGGCCUAAUUCAACUCCGAAAAAUGUAGGCCGUGCCAACCCUGCACGGCUCAAAUUACAUCCCGAGACCCAAAUAUUUUAAUUUGUAAGUUGUUAUAACUUUUCUAAUGGAUCCUUACUUUGCCCACAAGGUGAGGGUAAGAAAUGCUUGUGUGGAUCCAAGGAAUAUGGGCCCCAGUUGGACCUUUAAUAAGGGCUUAUCUGGGAUUGCAGGCAAAAUACACUAUAUGGGUGUGUUUGGUUCGAAGUCCGAAUCAGUAUCGAAAUCAGAAUGAGAAUAAGUUUGAAACGGAAUUGGAAUGAUUCAUUACUUCUUUCUGUUUAAUUCGCCACCUGAAUCGGAAACAGAAUGAACUAUUUCCAUUAUCGGUGUUUGGUUCAGAUAGAUAUCAGAAAUGUAAUCAAAUUAAUAUACCAAUUUUAUCUUUAUAAUAUAUUAGUUUAAAUACAAACUGAAAAUUAAAUAUUAAAAAUUUAUGUCAAAAUUUUAAAUAUAUAUUUUUUUAAAAAUUAAAAUUUGAAACUGAAUGGAUAAUUCAAAAUAUAAAACUAAAUUUCGAUUUGUUCAAAUUCAAACAUCAAAUUAUAAUUUAAAUUUUAAUUUGAAUCUUUAAUUUUUAAUAUAAAUUUUAAAUAAAAUUUGAAUAAAAUUUUAGAUUUUAAAUUAAAUUUAAAUUUAAAUUCAAAUUUAUAAAUUAGUUUCGAAAUGUUUUAUUGAAUUUUAAUUUUUACUUUAAGUUCAAAUUAAAAUUAAAAUUUAUAAAAUAUAAUUUUAAAACUUAAAUUUAUGUUUUAAUUAAAAAAUAAGCUUAAAAAAUUAAAUUUAAUCCGAACAAAUUCAUUCCCUCCGGAUUCAUAGGCGGGAUUGAAAAAAGGGUAAUUAGGGAGAUUCCCAUUCACCCGAAAAUCGAAAUCGGAAUGGAAAUUCCGCAUACCAAACAUGGACAAAUGAAUUCGGCCAUUCCGAGUCUGAUUCCAGGGUGAAAAAUGGGUGAACCAAACACGCGCUAUAUGUAGAGAAAAAGUUUGGCGAAUGAAGAAAAGAACUUUAUUUUCUUCUGUAAAUGUUGGUAGUGUUUGGAUGCAAGUAUAUCUUUGAUUUACUUGAAAAGAUUGUAAUUUCCGAUCGGUAAGGAGUGUGAUCAAAUUGUUAGUCUCGGAAUAAGAUAAAUCAUUCUAUAUAUAAAAUAUACUGUUCUAUCAAAUCACGGAUAUAAUCUCAAUCUUGGAAGAAAAUACUGAGAUAGAACAAGUUAUCACUGUAUUCCAACAUCCAAACAAGGCCCACUGCAGACAGCGGCCUAGCAUAGACUGGCAUAGAUUAAGAAAAAUUUUCUGUUGUCCCAACCGAAAAAAGUAGGUGGAUGUCACGUCCCGGGCUUGAGCGGAAGCUUCUCCGGUAGCGUGUUCAGAUCAGCCGUGUGUACAUGACUCCCUCACACACACGAAGCGACAAUUUAGAACAUUUGACUCGUACACUCAGACCAGAUCAGCCAACUGGAAGUGUGAGAUGGGAUCCCACAUUACCUGAUGAUUUUGGACUAUGUAUAUAACUGUGCGGUUAUGCUUGACGAUGACGUCAAGGCUUAAAAAAGAAAACGUCUAGACAUCCCAAGACUUGAGAAUAGUUCCGCGUCAGAUAGCUAUAGUGAGAUAUGAGAGUAUAUAAACUUGAAUCGGCUAGACUCAAUAACUAGGCAGUAUCAUUUUGGGCUAGUGAAUUACGCCCAACAAACUAUUAGGUCUGGAUAUUCAGUUAAUCGAGUCGCAAGCUCAGUGACAAGUGGCCUUCUGAGAAGCAGGUCGUGUUGGUGGAGAAACUCCCUAUGUACACACGUUCGCUCCAAAUCUGUUCUCUCCAAAAACGUGGAAAAUAAAAUAAAAAAGGUAGCUUAUGAAUAGUACUAUUUCAACGGUUCUCAUUUUAAUAUAUUUAUGUUAUUUUUAAAGAUAUUUUUGAUACACUUAAUUAUAAAUUAUAAAAAGUAAAGAAAAUAGUGACAAAAUUCUGACGAGGAAGGAUUAAGUAUUAUCAACUUAAGAUUAAUGGGAGCAACAAUAAAAUUUUAGAACUAAUCUAUUAAAUUUUGCAUGAAUUUCUACUAGCAUGGAUAUUUGAGAAUAUUUUAAAUGUUUAUGAGGGCAUGGGUUAUAUUUUUGAUCUUUAAAAGGGGAUUCAUAAAAUUAUAACCUUUCACAAGUUUUGGUGGACCGGGUCUAUGAAAAAAAAAAUCUCCGCAUGUGGAGGCACGGCAAGCGACGAGAACCGGCCCAUCCCUAUCUCCAACAGGGAUAAGAUCCCCUUAGGUGCACGUGUCGCUUUAUUGUAAUGCCACGUGGCACCAUAGCACAGAUCCAUGGGACACGUGUCACGACGCCAACCAACUUUAUUUUACACAAUGCGUGGAUGUGGACGUGGGUGUUUUUUAUUGUCGCAUAUUACGUCGACAUAUGACAUGUAGGAUCCACGCGGGACGACUUUUUUGGGUUUUUUUUGUCCUUAUUUUGGUUUUUUUUUUUGUUUUUCGUUUUUUUUCAUUUUUUUUAUGCGGGAUGACUCGAGUAGAAGACACGGUGUGUUCUUUGGAAUUUUUCAAGUGGGUCCUUGUAAAUAAAAAAAAAUUAUAAAAAAAAUGGAAGAAUGAAAAUUUUGUGUUAAUUGUAUUAUUGGUCUCUAAUAUCUACCUAUUUUGUUUUUACUUAGGUCCCUGUUGGGGCGGAAAAAAUAGCACCAGCUAGUAAACGACUCAGUAUAUUAACUAAACUUAUAGUUCUGUUCUUUUUGUAUAUUGAGGAAGAACUCGGUAGAGCUAAUCCUUUCUCAACCGAAUCACUGAAUCUUAACGCAAUCGAAGGUUAAUCAAAGAACGAAUAUUCUCCAUCCGAAGGUGCAUUUGAUUCGGUCAACGACUUAACCUGAUCAACGUUCUCAGCAAUUCAGUUCGCACUCAAAUAGUCCCUAACCUCUUCUCACAUGUGCAAUCAUCCCGACAUCGCAUAUGAUGCUUAUGAUCUAUUUUCGAGUAUUCGACGUUUUUGACAUUAAGACGAUCGUGCUGUCAAAUUCUUUCAGAAAAUUUAAAAAGCCGAUGCAACCGUUCGAAAUAAACUAUUUAACUGUUCAACUUGAAUAAAUUAAUAAAAUUAGGUAGAUAUGUCUAAAUUUAAAAUUUAUGUAGUUAAUUUAAAAUAAGCUAUAGUUGAAUAUUGUUUUUUUCCCUAUUUUGAGAUAAAUAAAAAGAGGAGGCAUUGACUCAAGUAAACGCUGGCGAUUUGUCCUUUUCAUUUGCAGAGUGUAAGACGUAUCUUUGGAGAGGAUAAGUAAUGAGAUGGGCCACUCAAUGCAAUGGCAUGUUUUGUUAGGGACAAAAUAAAUCUUAGAAUAAGCGAAUGAUUUAAAAAUUGGGUUGAAUCGGCCAGUUCAAUCAGUCUGACUAUAUUCAAUCUAUAAAGUGGUUCAGUUUAAUUUUUUGAAUAGAAUAAAUCAAAAAUCACUUUGAAUCAUUUGAGCUGACGAUUCAACUAUCGAACCAGUAAACCGGUCCGCUUUUAACCAAACCAACAGGAUUGUUUUGUUCAAUUCAUUAAAAUUUAACUAUUUAAAAUUAAUUUAACUGAUUUUAUUUUCUAUUAGCACAAAUUAAUCUUAUAAAACGUAAAACUUGAAAAUUAAUAUUUAUUUAAUUUGGUCUAAAAAUCAGUAUUUUAUAAUUAAAUAUGAUACUAGAAUAAUAAUACAUUUAUAUAUUUUAUAUAAUAUAAUAAAAUAAUAAUUAAAUAUUUAUGAUGUUGUGUCGGCGUCACUUGUUCAAUCAGUGGCUUUUAUACAGAACUUAUGAGAACUAUAGACUAUUUUGAGUCGACUAUAUAACGUUUCAAACUUCUGAUUUUCUUUGUCCAAUCUAAUGAAUUUAUAAUUGCAAAAAUUACAUGAAGUACACGGGCUAAGUCUAUAAUGAUUAAACGAUGAAUUCAAAAUUUGAAAUCAAAAUAUCAUUGAUUGGCUCAAAUCAACCAAAUUAAAAGAUUGGACAAUAAAAACACAAUUUUGAAACAUUGGAUAGUCCAUUAAAAAUAAUCAAUAAAAAAUGAAAAAACUUUAUUUCCAAAUAACUGACUUUACACCAAACAAACAAAUGUGGAAAAACGAUUUUGGCUUGAAUUUUAUGUCAACUAAAAAUUAUUUUUAAUUUUAAUUCUGUCAAACGGAAUGAUAUGAUUUUGAUAAUGACGGAUAAAUUUAUUGAAUUUACUCAUUAUUUUUUGAAUAAUUUUAUUAAAUUUUGUGAAUCUAAUUUGCGGUUUUUUUUUUUUAAGGCUUAAUGCUCUUCAUUUAAUAAGUAAUUUUCUUUUAUAGUAUUAAAUAAAUUUUAUAAUAUUAAACUAAUCAUCCAAAAAUUAAUUGCAAACUUAAAAAAUUAAUCUAAUAUUAUGAAUGUUCAAUAUUGUGGUCCCACUAGAUAUAAACUCACAAAUCAAUAACAUUAAUUUUAAGUGACCUUAUAAUCUACGCCAAAAAUAAAAAUAAAAAUAAAAAUAAAAAUAAAAAUAAAAAUAAAAAGUAAAAUAAAAUACUGCUUUAUGGUAGGGAUGUAAAUGGGACUGAUCUAGGCUGCAGCCCCGGAUCCACCCUAUUAAACAUUUUUUUUAAAAAAAAUUUCUGUUCAAAUCUAAAUUAAAUAGAAUAAAUUUUUUAUUAUUUUUAAAUGUGAUUUUAAGAAAAAGGGCAAUUGCUUAUAUAUUUUUGAAAAAUUUUCGACUUUCUGAAAUUUUGCCUUUUCAAAUAUAUCUUUCUAUUAUUAUCGGCUUUUCUUAUUUGCCUUUAAAAGUUAAGUACAAAAUAGGUAUUUUGAUUUUUUUUUUAACUCAAGUAAAAAAUUUAACCCGAGUUCAAUUUGAGAUAAUUUUACGGGUAGUAACAAUGGGAGUAUUUUUUAAUAACAGAGAACUAUAUAAGGGGUAUAUUUGAAAAAAAAAAAGAAGGAUAAAUUAGAUAUUUCAAAAGUUUUAAGAAGCAUAUUAAAUAUUAUCCCUAAAAAUAUAAUCAAAGUAUUAUAAAAAUAACUAUAUAUUAGAUUAUAUUAGUGUUCGAAAGACCUAAUAUUUAAAACCCAUAAUAAUAUUUUUAAAAAAUGAAUAGUUGUCAUACUAUUACGUAAAUGUUGAUCCGAGACGAAUUUGGGGCAGGGCUUGAAUGUAUGGAUUUGGGACAGAUUUUGGAUGGAUUAAUUCUUUUACCUUGUUCCAAUUUGAAUCCAUUUUGGGUCAUAAAAAUACUUCCAUUUAUUGUGUCAAAUUUGUGUUAAAUUAUAUAAAUAAUUAUUUAUUUUUAAAAAUUUAAAUUAUCUGAGGAUAGUGUUUAUAUAUUUUAUAUUCAAUACUCUCCUCAAGUCUGGGCUCGAAAUUUUUUAAUAGAUCAAAGAAGUGGACUUAAUUAAUAGGAGAAAAUUUAAAAACAUCAGGAGCCUGAUGAGACACGAACUUAGGACACUCUAUUUUGAUACUAUGUUAUAUUAUAUAAAUGUGACACCCCAAUAAUCCCACAUCGGAUAGUUAUGACUAGAUAUGGAAGUAUAUAAAUUUGAUUGUCUAGUUGGGCUAGACAUAAUAACUGAGCUUAAGUAUUUUGAGUUAUAGUCGGAAUAACAAAGGCUAGUGAGACAAGUCUCACAUCGCUUGGUGAUCUUGGACUGUAUGUGUGUUUAGGACUGAUAGUCCCAUAUCGGAUAGUUAUGACUAGAUGUGGGCAUAUAUAAGUAGACAUAAUAACUGGGUUUAAGCAUUUUGGGCCGGUAGUUUGGACCCAAUGAGUUAUUAUUGCUAGCGGGUCAGGUCGUUACAUUUGGUAUCAGAGCCAGUUCACCGCCCGGAAGUGUAAGAUGAGUCUUGGCUGAGCCAGGGUCGGAAUGACAAACUAAGUCAGGGUCGGUGAUUGACAGGCUAAGUCAAAGUCGGAGUGACAAAGGCUUGCGAGAUAAGUCUCAUAUCGCCUGGUGAUCUUGGGUUGUAUGUGUUUAGAGCUGACAAGGACGUCAGGGCCUAAACGGGGAGAAUCUGUGACAUCCCAAUAGUCUCACAUCGGAUGAGAAUGGGAUUGUCAUUGGGUUUAUAAAAGGACUUCACCCUAGUAAUAAUAAUUGGGCUUAAACAUUUUGGGCUAGUAGUUUUGGCCCAACGAGUUAUUAUUGCUAGCGGGUCGGGUUGUUACAUUUGGUAUCAGAGCCAGUUCACCAGUCGGAAGUGUGAGAUGAGUCUUGCCUGAAUCAGGGUCGGAAUGAUAGACUGAGCCAGGGUCGGUGAUUGACAGGACAAGCUAAGUCAGGGUCGAAAUGAUAAAGUGAGGCAAGUCUUACAUCACCUGGUGAUCUUGGGCUAUGUAUGUGUUUAGGGCCCAAUAAUCCCACACUACAUGUAGGGCUUAAGCUUUGGGAGAGUCUGUGACACUCGGGAGUAUAUAAGCUUUAUUGAGCUAGACAUAAUAACUAGGCUUAAGCAUUUUAGGCUGGUAGUUUGGGCCCAACGAGUUAUUAUUACUAGCGGGUCACAUUUGGUAUCUGAGCCAGUUCAUCAGCCGGAAGUGUGAGAUGAGUUUUGACUCAGCCAGGAUCAGAAUGACAGACUAAGGUAGGGUCGGUGAUUGACAUGCUAAGUCAGAGUCGAAAUGACAAAUGCUAACGAGACAAGUCUCACAUUGUUUGGUGAUCUUGGGUUGUAUGUGUGUUUAGGACUGACAAGGACGUCAGGGCCUAAACGAGGGGAGUCUGCAACACCCCAAUAGUCUCAUAUCGGAUAGUUAUGACUAGAUGUGGGAAUAUAUAAACUUGAUUGUCUAGUUGAGCUAAACAUAACAGCUAGGCUUAAACAUUUUGGGCUUGUGGUUUGGGUCCAAUGAGUUAUUAUUGCUAACACGUCGAGUCAUUACAUUUGGUAUCAGAGCCAGUUCACAAGCCGAAAGUGUGAGAUGAGUCUUGGCUGAGUUAGGAUCGGAAUGACAGACUAAGCCAUGGUCGGUGAUUAACAGGUUAAGUCAGAGUCGGAAUGACAAAGGCUAGCGAGAUAAGUCUCACAUCGCUUGGUGAACUUGGGUUGUAUGUGUGUUUAGGUCUGGCAAGGACAUCAGGGCCUAAAUAAGGGGAGUCUGUGACACCCCAAUAGUCCUACAUCGGAUAGUUAUGACUAGAUGUGGGAAUAUAUAAACUUGAUUGUCUAGUUGGGCUAGACAUAAUAACUGGGUUUAAAUAUUUGGGCCGGUGGUUUGGGCCUAACGAGUUAUUAUUGCUAACGGGUCGGGUCGUUACAAUAAAACAAGAUUGGCAUCAAACUUGAGUUGGUAAAUGAGCGGAUUGGGUGAUUCGCAGUAGAUCAUCAUAUCUGCGGGUUACCCGUGCUCUUUUUUUAUUCUUAUUUUUUUCAAAUACAAAUUAUAUAGAUAUAAUUUUUAAAAAGCCAUAACAUAAUCUAUUCUUUAAAAUAUCACAAAUAUAUUUAAAAUAUCAUAAUAUACAAUAAAUAAUGUACAGUUUUAAAACAACACUAAGAAUAUAUAUAUAUAUAUAUAUAUAGGCGGAUACCCACGGGUAGGGGUGGCAAUCCAACUCACUGUUCAUAAGUCAGUUCUUGUUCGACUUAUUAAUAAGUGAGUCGAAUACAAGCUAAUACAAGCUAAAAUUUUCAGCUCGAUAUUUUAACAAGUCAGCUCCUAUUCUGUUCAUUUAUAAAACUAGCCAAACACGACCCGAUCCAAGCUCGCUCAUGUUUGACUGGUUGACACCACUACCGGCGUGUAUCUAUAGAUCAACAAAAAUAUUCAUAAUGGAUAUCCAUCUAUCUUAUCCGCAAUUUUUAGGUAAAAAAAUAAUGCUCAUACUCGCAAAUCUGCGGUAACAUGCGGAUAUGCCGUUAUAGGUAGAGAUUGUUGGAUCUGAAACUACUACUUUUUAUAAUAAUAAUAAUAAUAAUAAUAAUAAUAAUAAUAUCAAAUGUACUAAAAAUAAUUUAAAUUACUGACUAACUGCCAGAACUCUGAAACCAAUCUCUUUCCUGACUCGUUCAUGUGGGAGAAUUAGGUUUAAUUAUGCUUCCUACAUGCUAUUUAGCUACAUGCUUAACACAUUUCAAAUUUUUUAGGGUUUCUUUACUAUAUGUUUAACAACAUUUCAAAUUUUUUAGGGUUUCUUUACAACAUGUUUAACACAUUUCAAAAUUUUUAAUUUUCUGUAUACAUACUAUUUUUUAACUUUCCAAACGUUCUAUUGAAAUUGACCUUUUUUGGGCUAUAUUACACUCUUAAUCCUCAAAUUUUACUUUGCAAGAUACUUCAGUUCUUAAAUUUUAAUUUAUUGUAAUUUCUGGUUCGAACUUUGUGAGUUAUUGCAAUUAAGCCAUUAAACACAAUUUAACUGGCCAAAUGUUGAUGUGUUGGUAAUAUAAAAGUGAUGCAAUAGUAUUGCAAUUAAUAACAGAAUAAUACUAAGAUGUCAUAUCACUUUUGUAUUAAUGAAACGUUAAUAUUUAGUCAAUUAUAUUAGAGGCUAAAUUAUAUAAAAUUUUUCUGUAAAAAUUUAAUUUUUCACUUUUCCUCCCUGUCAUUUAAAAACCUACACUUUGCCCUCUCGUAAAAUGAAAAAUGUUCACAGGAGGUACGGUGUGAAAUGUGAUAACAAAAUGACCAUUUUGCUCCUUAUUAUUUUCGUCUCCUCCCUCAUCUCACUCAUCCGCUACCUCGAUCGACCGUAGUUCGCGUCUCGAUUCGCCGCGGUUUCUCUCCAUUUUCUUCUCCACCUGCUCCCCCUUCUCCUCCUGCACCCUCGUCGCCCUUCCAUUUCGGCGACAGUAGGCAGCAUAUCGAGGUGGGUGUGGAUGAAAAGGUAGGCAAGGGCAACGAGGGCGAAGGCGAGGCGGCGAAGGAGGGCGAGAGGGUGUUUCUGAGCGCGGACGGAGAUGUAGGCGAGGGCAAGGUAGUGAAGGAGGGCGAGGCGGUGAGGCGGAGGAGGGCGAAGCACAGUAGAAAGAGCGGAGGGUAUUUUUGGCAUAAAAAAGAUUUUAUAACAGAACUUUAGCGGAUCAUUAACAGUAGGGGGUAAAAUGAACAUUUUUCAUUUCACAAGGGACCAAAAUGUACGUUUUUAAAUGACAGGGGGAGAAAAUGAAAAAUCGGAUUUUGACAGAAAGAUUUUCUAUAAUUUAGCCUAUAUUAGAUUAUGGGAUUUAAUUAUAAUAAUUUAUAAAGUUCGAGCCAACAAUUACAAUAAAUUAAAGUUUGAAAAUUAAAGUGUCACGUGUAUCAUAGUUUGAGGACCAAAUAUAUAAUUAAGUAAUUUUUUCUUUUUCUAUUUAUCAGUAUACUAUUCAAUUAGAGUAAUGCAUUUAUGCAAAUUUAGGGAAUCUCAAAGGGAGACAUGUUACCUAACCACCCACUUCCUCACUUCCUUAAUUUUUUGUUAAUUUUUUUUUGUUAGCUUAUUCAAAUUAUUUUAAUUACUUUAUUUCAAUUUUUUUACUCAAAUAGUUUUACAAAAUAUUUGAGGGCAUUUUUGGUUCAAAUUGUUGUGGAAAUGAAAAAUAAAAUUGAAUUGCAUUAGAAUGAAAAAUUAAAUAAUGAAUUAUAUAAAAGUUUUUGAUUCGUUAUUAAAUUGGAAAUCGGAAUAGAGACCUAUAAUUUUCAAAGAAAGUUUUCAGUAAAAGAAAGAAGAGUGAUAAGGGAUGCAAAUGGAUCUGAGUUUGUGGAGCUCCCAGCCUGAUCUGCCCCGAAUGAGACUGCAAGUGGGAACCAAAAAUAUAUAAAAAUGCAACCUGUUCGGUAUCCCCAAAUAACAACUAUCAAAAUAAGCUAAACUCAUUCUGAUUCCAGAGUUUAGAAUAAGUGAAUCAAACAAGUUCUAAGUAUCCAUCAGUAAACACUAAUACCUCGCCUUACUCUCUUCCAUCUUAUAUUUUUUAUAACUAAAUUAUUAUAGACAUUUCAAACUUUUUUUCCCCUUCUUUUUGCAUAUAUAGUCUUAUAAAAUGAUCCAAUUUCCAACAUAUCCCCAUGAACUUUAUUUCUCGGAAUUUUAACCUUUUGGAAUAAAAUGCCUCCAUUCUUUUCAGAAUCGACCAAUCUACAAAUUAACUGGCAUAUUUAUUUUUCAAAUAAAGUUUAAAGAUGAAGAGAGAAGAUGAUAGGAAUGAAUUAAAUUGAAAACAUGUGGAGGAGACGGGAAAUAAUUUAUUUGCCUAUCUAUUAUCUCCCGUGUCAACAAAAGUAGAUUCAUAUAUAAUUUAGUGGACCAUAUUAGAAAUUGAUAUUUUUUCCUCUCACUACAACAGAAUUAGGUUAUAGGGACACAUGUUUGAGACACUUUUGAGUAAGCGUCCCAUUUAUGCUAAAACUUAAAACACAUCUACUAAUACCUAAAUAUAAAGCUCAAUCCAACUAAAAAUAAAAGAUUACUCUACUCAACCCACCACACCCAGUCCAUUUGACCCGAUUACAAACAGAAAAGAAAAAAAAAAAAGAAAAAUCAAUUACCAUCUUUUCUUCUCUCUUCACUCAAUCCAUUGAAAUUCUAUAUGAAGAGGCUUUACUGUCGUCCUCCUCCGCCACCGCAACCAACGAGAUAGAGUUUCGGCGGUUGCUAAAUGCUUAAGUAAGUGUUGGUAAAUUAGCAGCACUCUUUUAGGUUAUAGCGACACUCUUUAACUGUCACUAUAUACUUAGCGACCCCACAUAUAGCAACACUUUUUAAAAGUGUCGGUAAUUUUAGCUAGCAUCAUUUUUUUGACAUAUACCUAUAUUUAAAAGUGUCGGUAUAGACCGUUUUUGUUGUAGUGCCUUUUUUUUUUUUUNUACAAAAUAAUUAUAUGAAAUAUAGUAUUAUAAUAUAAAAAAAAUAAUUUAUAAGUUGAAUAUCUAAUUUUUUCAGCCUUAUAUGUCUUUUCUUCCGCCUUCAAUCUUUAUAUUAUUCAUUUUCAUUUAUGCAGUCAAAAAUAAAUAAAUUAUAUAGAUAAAUAUUGGAUUAAACUAUCCAAUCAUAUAUAACUAAAAUUAAAAUUUUAUAUGAAUAAUAAUUUUUUACUUUAAAAAUAUUCUGUAUAUUUUCUCAAGCAUACAAUUAAUAGCAAGGUAAGCAACGGCGGGCACAUGAUUUUACUUGGUAACUUAGAGGGCUUCCGGCUUAGCCACUUAGGGUGAGAGACAGAAAAAAGGAAAGAGAGGAAUAUAUUGAAAAUUUAGAGCUCUGUGAAAGAAAGAAAGAAAGAAAGAAUGAAAGGAAAAAUAUAUAAAUUUAGUAAAAUUUUACUCUUUUAUUUGUCUAUUGGGUUUAUUUUUAUAGGCCAACAAUAUUGGCCCAAUUUUAACUGCCUUCCGUGCUUCCAGGUCGUUUUUAAUGUUGCGACUUUCGAAUUGUUGAUCGGCUCCGUUAAACUUGAUCUAGAGUAUUUGAAGUACCUAGAAAAUAAAUUUUGCAAUUUUUCGAUAUCAUUUGCCCAGUAAACUAAGGGGCUCAAAAUCAACGGCUGAAAAUAAAAAUCUUACAAAACGUGAUAAUAUGACAUUAAAAUUUUAGAUCAAAGAUAUUGAUCUUGUUUUAUAUAGUACAAAAAAUUUUCUAUCAAAAUUUCAUGUGAUUUGGAUAUUUCUACACCGUUAAACUUGCAAACGGCUCACCACGGCCAUUAAAAUUAUUGAUUUUGAGUCCUUUCGAUCACUAGGCAAAUGAUAUCGAAAAAUUAUAAAAUUUAUUUUCUAAUUACUUCAAAUACUCUAGAUCAAGUUUAACGGAGCCGAUCGACGAUUCGAAAGUCUCAAUAUCGAAAAAAGACCUAGAAGCAGCACGGAAGGCUCGGCGUGCCUUACCAGAAGCAAUAGUCAGCCUCAUCUAUAUAUAUAUUAUAUAUAUAUAUAAGAAGAAGAGAGAAUAGGCUGGAAAAUACUAUUAAUAGUAAAACGUCUUUUUGCUAUCAAGUUUUUAACCCUCGGAUAAAAAAUUGUAGGUCAGGAUAAUGUUAGUCGUUUAGAGUUGAGUAUUCCCCUAGGGUUAGUGUCCCCAUGGGUUAUUAGUAUUUAAUCCAAUGGUUAGAAAUAAUAAAAAGAGUUGAAUCCAAUGGCUAAAAACUGGUAGCAAUAAUGGGAUUUUGCUACUAAUAGUAGCCCAGUCCAACUCUAAUAUAUAUAUAUAUAUAUAUAUAUAUAUAAUAUAUAUUAUAUAUAUUAUGUGUAACUACUAUGCUAUCGAAAUAUAAGGAUUUGAUGUUUUGAAUUUGACCCUUUGAUUAAAAAUUGUAUGGUGGAUGAUUGCGGUCUCCCUAGGAUUAAAUAAUACUUUAGAGUUGAGUGGCUCUCUAACAAGUAAUAAUAAUAUUAAUUCCAAAGAUAAGAAACGAUUAAAGGGAUUGAUUUAAGAAUCAAAAAAUCGAAAGCACCAGAUCUCUAUACUUUCGAUAGUAUAGUAGCUCUACUCUAUAUAUAUAUAUAUAUAUAUAUAUUCGAGCUUUUCGAGCCUAAUUCGAACGAGCCGAGUAAUACUCAAGCUCGGCUUGAAAUGAAUUUCGAGCCUUUUUUUUUGUUCAAGCUCGGCUCAUUUAAUUUCGAGUCGAGCUCGAGCAAGCCAAAUAUCGAGUCGAACGCGAGUCGAACGCGAGCCGGCUCGCUCAUUUGCCAGCCCUACUUAGAAGCGUCGGCAAAUAAAGAGCAACUAGGCAUAUGCCGAUGCCUGUGACAUACGUAAGUGCACGUGAAUCUUAGAACGAUUGAAAAUGGUAGUUAUAAAUUUAAACUCAUAAAAGAGAUACUGAGUCCCUGACCGAUUAAUUUUAGGUGCAUGUGAACAAUACACUUGAUAAUUUUAAGUGUGAAUGAUAUAAAUGAAUAGGCGCCUAACAUAUCACAUCACAUAAAUGUAUGUAUCCAACAUAUGAAGUCGUUACUCCUCUUAAAAGUUAAUUUGCACUGCGUACCGUUUGGUUCGCUUAUAAACAAGAAUUAACUAUUAUAAAGAUAGGUACAAAUAUGGGGAUAAAAAAAAUAGCGUUUGGAUGAAAAUUGGGUUGUUCCCGGAAAUAAAAAAAAUAACGUUUGGAUAGAUAAUAUAGAAUAAAAAAAUUAUUAGGUAGUUUUAUAUAAAAAAUAGAGGUGUUGGUGGGAAUAGUUAUAACCGGCUAUUAUAGGUAACCGAGAACUAGUGUUCUCAAGUAAAAAAUUAGCGUUUGGAUAUAAACUGGGGGAUAAGAGACUAUCCCUAUCCCUAUUCCCUAACUAAACACUGCCGUCGACGUCAGACGUGAAUAACGGGAAAUCAAACCAUUCAAAUGUCCUAAUGAAAGUUUUAUGAUGUCCUGCAUGAUGCAAGCAAAAAAAAGUAGGGAAAAGUCUUCUCCAUAAUCAAGAAUUUAAGUGUCUGUCGGUACGGAUUGUCUCUAUCGUGUCAUAUCGCUCUAAUAAGUAUUGACACGAUACAGCUCCUGUGCCGAUAACAUAGUUCAAAACUCUCUAUUAUUUAAAUUAGUAAGUAAUUUUCUUAAUAAAGUUGAAAAAAUUUGAUAAAAAAACUUAAUAAACAGUUAGAAUAUUUUAUUGCUAAAGAAAAUAAAUAUUUCACAUUAUUAUGUGUUGGCACACAUGAAUAUUUGUGACCGGCAUGCAUCGGUAUGGUCCGGCACACACUGUGCCGUACUGUGCCAGCAAAUUUUCAGUAUGAUUCCGUGCCACGGCACUUAAAUUCUUGACAAAUACUGCACCAUAUAUAUAUUUCUAGAAGUUUUAACUUUUUGAUACUUCUCGUGCUAGUUCUCGACAAUGAUAUCUCCCAAUUUAUGAUCGACAUAGAUAAAUAUUAUAUAUUUCUUAUGAACUUUAUAAGAAUCAAAUUUUGUAAUCUUUCAGUAUUACGUAUCAAGUGGUCCCAAGCAUAUCUUGUAAUUAUGCCUUUGAAAUUGGUUGGUUGUGAACUCACUUGAAAAAUAAGAAAUUAAUAAUAAUAAAUUAUAAAUUUUGGUUUUUACGUAGUUCGUGAUACGUAGAUCAUAUUUAGGGUUGUCAAUAGUCCAUUUUGUAUGCUCUAUUAUCGGAUACGACGUAAAAAUACGAAGAGGCGUUUGGAUUGGGUAAAAAAGGGGAGAUAAGAGGGUUAUCUUUCAAAUUAUUCAUCGGAUUAAGAUAAAACACCUUGUAGGUAAAAAAUAAAAUCCUAUUAAAUUAUGAAUGUCAAAACUUUUUUAAGAAUAAAAAUUAAAUUCCUAUUUUCUAAUUAUAUAAAAAAAAAUUCAUACCAAAUAAGUUAUUAUCAAAUAACUGAUUUCCAAUGUUCUUAAAAUUAGGUCGAAUAGCGACCUGAAAAUAUUAAUGGACAUAGAGUCACUGGUUCAGUCGGUCGGUCAACCACUAGUUGAACCAAUAACGUUAACAUGACAUCAUAAAUAUUUAAUUAUUAUUUUUAAUUUUUAAUUUCAAAUUUAAAAUAUGAAUUUAAAAUUUGAAACCUAAAUUUUAAAAUUUUAAAUUUUGAAUUUAAAUUUUAAAAUUUAAAAUUUAAAAUUCAAAUAUUUAAUAUUUAAAAUUGAAAAUUUGAACAUUUAAAAUUUAUAUCCAAAAUUAAAAUUUUAAAUUUUAAAAAAUUUUAAAUUUAAAUUUAUAAUGUGAAAACUAAAUCACAUAAUUUAAAUUUAAACAUUUAAAAUUUUAAAUUCUAAAAAUUCAAAAUUUAAAAUUUAUAUUAAAUUUAAAUUUUGAUAUUUAAAAUUUUAAAUUUUGGAAUUUAAUAUCUAAAUUAUAAAUUUGAAAUUUUAAAAUUUACAAUUUAAAAUUUAAAAUUUAAUAUCUAAAUUUAAAUUAUAAAUUUAGAAAUUUGAAAUUUAGAAGCUAAAAUUUGAAAUUUAGAAAUUCAAAUAUAAAAUUUAAAAUUUAAAAUUUGAAUCUAAAAUCAAAAUAAAAUUUUAAAAAUUGAAUUCAAAAUGAGAGUCAGAUUUCAAGAAGCGGAUUUUAAUUGCUUUCGAUUUUGGACUUCGAAAAUUAAAAAAAAUAAUGCUAAAAAUCAAAAGCAGAUUGAAAGGAGAUUGCCAAACAUACUAUUGAGACAAAAAUUAUUUUUGGAUCCAAAAUUAUUUUUUAAAAGUUAGGUCAAACACGUACUAAAUGAUACAAUAGUUGUUUUUGAACUAUAUGACAUCAAAUCAAAAAAGCAGAUAUUUAUAAAAAAAAAUUCAGCAUUUUAGCUGGAAAAAUAUUUUUUAAAAAAUUGACAUGGUGAUGCGUGCAUCUUGGUAAUCUUUUUUUUUUUUUGNCAUCAAAUCAAAAAAGCAGAUAUUUAUAAAAAAAAAUUCAGCAUUUUAGCUGGAAAAAUAUUUUUUAAAAAAUUGACAUGGUGAUGCGUGCAUCUCAAUACUAUUUACUUUAUUGCCAUUCUCCUUUUGCUGCUCCUCCCAAAAAUCUAUUUCAAUUUGAAUUUUACUUUCAGCGAAACAAACAAGCUUACAGAGUUCACAUUCGGUUUGAGUCCGAGCAAAAGCUGUAACCGAAAUUAUAACUAUUGGGUUCUGAAUUUACCCUCAUAAUCGAAAACAGCCUAAGCUUCAGGGUAUGUUCAUUUUACCGACGAUGGAGGGGCAUGAGAUGGCUUUUCGACUGUAAAUGCUUACUUUCGUUAUUUGAGUCUCCGUAGCUUCACCUUUGGUUGAACUCAAACUCUCCAAAAUGCAAAAAUAAUAAAAUACUAAUAGUAAAAAAUUUCACCUUUUACAUUAUUUAUUUUUUACCAAAUAAACAACAAAAUUGAAAGAACUGCAAUUCCAAGACUACAAAAACAAACAGUAAAAAAAAAAAUUACCGAAACUUUAAUUCACCCAAAAGUCCAUUUCAAUCUGAAAUUCACUUACGGAUUUGAUUUACACCUGAGCAAAAGCUGUAAGCGAAAUCGUAGCUAUUGGGUUCUGAAUUUUUAUCCCUGCAAUUAAUCAAAACCUUCAAGCUUCAAUUAAAGCCAUCUCUGUAAGAUUCAAAUUCGGAUAAAAUAUGAGGCAUCCAUAUCCAUUAGUAUAUAUCCCUAGUGGGGAUCCAAAUGGGGCGGAUCCGGAGACAAGUGGGGUUCCCCACCUCAUUUGUCGGGUUUAGGCAAAUUCGAAGCAGAUUAAUUUUACUUCUAAUUCUAAUCCCUACUUACCGCUUUAUUAGAUAGAGCGGGACUGCGGGAGCGAAUUUUUAGCGAAACAAGACGGAUCACGUAAAAAAAGAAUUUACCGCCUCCCGUUACAUUUACUUAACUUUUUUAUGUUUGUUAUUCCCACAUACUAAUCUAUUCGAGCAUGAAUCGGGACGAGAGCCCCUUACCCCUACUCUCCUAUCAAGGGGCAUCAAUGCCAACGCAAUUAGAAAAUUAUCCCUUAUUUAUUUAUUUAUUUAGUUAUCUUAUUUAUUUAUUAAAAAAAUUUGAAAAAAGAGGGUUCGGGGAGGUGGGGGAGUUGACCCAAGAGCCAUUAAAUUCGGCGGGAAGAGAGGGAGGAGGAAGGGAGGUGGAGCACCAUUUCCCCCCCCCCCCCUCUCUCUCUCUCUCUCUCUUCUUCUCUCUCUUACUUCUUCUCUCUCUAGGUGAUUCGAUCUUCUAGGGAAAUUAGGGUUUCUUUUUUUUUUUUUUUCUUCUUAUUUGUUGGCUUUUUUUCUUUUUCUUUCUUUUUUUUUUUUACAAAAAGAGUUUUUUUUUUUUUUGAAUUUUGGGGUUUUUUUUUUUUAUUUUUUUUGUUGGGUGAAAAGAGAUGUCGGCGGCGACUUUGUGUGCUGGCGAAGGGCCGGCACCGACAACGCUACGACGACCAUUAUCGUCUCGUUGCCGGGUAAAUCUUUUUUUUUUUUUUUUUUUUUUUUGCCAUAUUAUUGUUUUUUUUUUUCUUUCUUGUAGAGUGAAGUAUUAAGCCAAAAAAAAAGAGAAGAGGGAUAAUGAGAGCAUGUUAUGGCAAAAUAAUCAUUUUUUUUCAAGUAGCAUUUGUUUCUUGUUAUUUUUUUGUAAAACUACUAUUAGUUGAGAAUAGCACAAAAAAAAAGAAAAAAAAAAAAAAAAAAAGUUCAGAGAGAGAGAGAAGUAACUAUAUUGAAUUUUUUUAGAUUUUAUUGUUGUUUUUUGGCAUGCCGUUUGAAAUAGUGUUUCUGAGUAGAAGUGUGGAGUGGGGUUCGGCUGCAGUUUAUAGAUCCCGAAAGUAGAAGCUCUAAUUUAAAAUUUUUGAAGCUGUUGACGAAGAGUCUAAUUUGAAGUGGAAGAUUUUGUUUGAAGCUUUGGUUUUUAUCGCUACGACAAAUUAUUAAUGAUUCCUUGAUCAACUAAAAACCUUUUCAAUCUACAUUGACAAAAUCCCAAAAAGUAGAUUGUACACCUUUUUUGUGUGAUUAACUUCUCCAUCAAUGUUUUAUUGUCUCCUUUUGCCCCAGCAGAUGCAUUCCUUACAGGCUAAAGGAAACAGGAGAGAAUCAUCAUCAUAGUCAUGAUUUGUUAGAUAGGCUACAAGUGCUUAUGAUUUCUACCCCAAAUAGGACUGACCUUGUUUUCCCAAAGGUGAGCAUAAUUUUUUUUUUUUUUUUUAAAUUCCUUAAAAGUAUCUCUAAUUAAAGUUUGGAAUCUGGAAAAAGUUUAUGUAAUUGGUUUAAAUUUCAUAAAAAUGGUUGUUAGGGUGGAUGGGAGGAUGAUGAGACUGUAGCCGAAGCCGCAUGCCGCGAGGCCCUGGAGGAAGCUGGAGUGAAGGGUAUCAUCAGUGUAAGAAGCUUAAUCUUUAAUCCUUAUUUCAUAUUUGAGUUGCAUUUAUCCAUAAAUUUACGAAUCUAACUUCGAUUUGGACUCGAAAUAUCAAGUUAGAGAUAAACUUUUGAUGUUUGGUGAAUUCGUUUCGUAGUUAAGUUUGUUAUAUUUUCUCCGAAGACAUUUCGUCGCAUCGCUAGAUUAGGUACUGGAAUUUUGUUGUCGGCUUUGGGUAGAGCAGUUCGAAGAAGCAUUACCACCUUUUUCACCUAAUCGACCAUACCAACUUCUCUCUAUCGCAGCUUUGACGACCUAGAAACUCGUUUCAGCUUUCCGUCACAACGAAAUCUCCAGAGAUUUUCAUUUAUUGCUAUUUUAGCUACUGAUUCUCGAGAAGAGAAGCUACUCCCAAAAGUUUGAUCCCUAAGAGAAGGAAUAGAUCUCGAAAAAGUUAGAUUGAUCAUAACCUGAUGAUUGAUCAUCAUGAAUUAUUUCUAUUCAAUAUCAAUUCACAGAAGCUUUGAUGAAACAGGAAAUUGAUAAUGUUAUUUUUUUAACCUUGCUGAUGUUGUGGUGCCCACUGAGGUGUUAGUUUUUGUACAUAUCAUGUGCUUGUGAUUUUUGCAGUAGAUUCCAAACACUUAAUGGUCCACUUGUCAUAGUUUAUUCGCCAUUAAAUAAAUAGCCAUGUCCUUAAAAUAUACUUUUGGUUAAUAACUUCCAGUCAAAGCAGCUCAUUAUUAAAAUGGAAUGGGAUGUAUUGUUUCCUGUUUGGUUUAUCUCCUCUGCAGUCUCUUGUUUGUUGUCGCUUCAGCAAAAUCAAUCUCUUGGACUUUUGUUUCUGUCGAAAGAUUUCACAUGACUUUUCACAUUUUCUGUCUUUGUUGAGAAUCUGCAAUCUACUCUGGUACCAUUUGAUGUAAAUUCGAUACUCAUUCUGGUACCGGUUGUUGGGAUUCCGUAAUGAAAGCGUCUUUCACAUUUUUUUUUUCUUUGUUGAGAAUCUGCAAUCCGCUCUGGUACCAUUUGAUAUAAAUUCAAUACUCAUUCUGGUACCGAUUGUUGGGAUUCCGUAAUGAAAGCGUCUAAUUGGAAUUUUACUAUAAACCCGUUCCCUCAACCAAAAUCGGCACAUCCAUAAAAGAGGGGAAAAAACAAACAGAGAAAUAUAGGUGACGUAAGACUCACUAACCAGAGAAGAUUACACUCGACUCCUCUUCUGCAACAAAGUGGAUUCAAUCUGAGCCCUAUUUCUAAAUCUCCCACCCUCUCUUUCAUCUUCUAAUCUAAAAGACCUCUCUCUUUUUGUGCUCCGCACACAAGGUAUAUCAAUGAAUCACAGCCACGAAAGGCAGUCUUACGUUUUGUUUACUAGUUUUCCUUCUUGUUGGCGUUUUUUUCUUGCUCCUUUCUUAGUGUUUGUGCGACCCAACUUUUGAAUAACAUAUCUAAUACUCCACAAUGCAAAAGCUUCUAACGUUUUCUAUCAGAUCGAUCUUUUUGGUACCAUUUCAUCAAAGCCGUUCCUAAUUCCCCUUAAUUCCAUGGGGCUCUUCCACUACCUCUCCUAUAGCAUGCGCAGCAAUAUGGUUCAUCUAACACUUUUUCUGAUUCGUUUCCUAUGAGGAAUUUUUGGGAGUUUGUUAUCUAAAGAGAAGUUAAAAUGAGUUUUUGGGCACAAAGCUUCUACGGCAACGAGAAGUUGUAGAGAGAAUCUUAAUGGAAAAGCUAUUAGCGAAUCUUUGAACAGCCGUAAAUUAGCGUGUACUCGCGCUAAAUUGAUAAUUUGAUUUUGCAAUCACCAAUGAAGGGGAUUGUAAUUUAUCUUAAAACUUGUUAUUUCUUUAGGAAGCUCCACUGGGAGACUGGAUAUUCAGAAGCAAGAGCAGCGAGAACAGCAGCAGCCCACAAGGAGCUUGCAAAGGCUACAUUUUCGCGUUAGAAGUUACCGAAGAGCUCGAGUUUUGGCCUGAGCAGGCUAACCACGGGCGGCGAUGGGUCGGUAUUCAAUCACAGUUCUACCUACAUAAGAUCAAAUAUACAUCAGUAACUCGAGAACUCUUUUUGAAUCUUUUCCAUGAAUAGGUAUCGAUGAGAGAUGCGUACGAGCUCUCACGUUACGAGUGGAUGCGAGAAGCUCUCGACGCGUUCCAGAAGCAGCUCUUGGGGGGUAAGAUUUUGGCUCAAUCAGCCAACAUGUCCGAGCCGUCGAGCUUGUGCAUGAUGCUGCCUGCUGCAGCCGAGCGAGCAAUCGCGUUGUGCUGAAAGUGUGCGCGCAGCUUCUUGGAAAAGCGCUUCGUCUGCCGGUGCUUUUUCUCGAAACCAGAUUUUAUAAUUUCCUCUUUUCUGCUUUCUCCGCGUCGAAGAUCAUUCUGUGGAGUUUCAGUUUUAGUGCUGAAAAAUGUUAAUUGUACCACUCCCUGUUUCUAUGGUAAACUUUGUUGUAGCACAAAUUGUGGAAUGAGCUUCUGGACUCAAAAGCAUAUGAUUCAAUUCCCAGGUUCUCAAAAAUAAGUAAAUGAAUGAAUAAAUAAAUAAAUAAAUAAGUAGUAAAGGGAAAAAAAGAAUUUGCUGUAGAGUUAUUAAGAGAAUAUUAAAGUAAAAAACAGGCAUAACUUAUUUGAACUCUAAAAAAUUUGAAUUUCACUACCCAAUAUUUAAAUAUUUUUGAUUUUAGUCCGUUAACAAUAUUGGUUAAAAACUUAAGCUAAUUAUUUAUUUUAAUAAAUCUAUAAUUAUAAUAAUUGAAUGAAGUGCACUAACUGAACUAAUAAAGGUAAACGAUGCAUUCAAAUUUUAAAAUUAAAGCAAUAUUUACUGACUCAAAUAAAAAAAUUGUAGUAUUGGGUAGUGAUUAUAAUUUUCAAAUGUUGGUUAGCUGACUCAGAAUUGUCUACAGUUCAAGUAAGUUUUGUACAUUUUUAUUAAAUAUUAAUCAUAAAUAUAUUUGAGUUACUUUACGAACACUUCUGUAGAAACUGUAACGAACACAUCCGCCUUACGAGUAGUGAGAGAACGACAGGUAACUAGAGCAUGUCUCUUGGCAUGAACAUUUUGUUCGACCACAUUUCUUUUUUAAUGAAUGGUAAUGUUGUAAUGGAUGGGCGAGGAACAUGAUCGAAAGUUUACAACAAUGUAUCAAAUCAUUAGCGCCAACUAUUAAUCCAAAAGUUUGAGCUAUUAGAAACACGCAACUAAUUCACUUAACACGUACGGAUAUAGCACUCAGGGGUCUUGAUUGUUGCUCAGCCCAAUCAGACCUCUCGUCAUUUUGAACGUAACUCGGCUCAACCUAGCCUUCCGUUACAGGACAAGGACAAGAUGCUAGUCCGUCUAUGCCAACUCCAUAGAUGAGAAUUUGAAACGUAUUUGUCCAUUUGUAGUCAUGUUGUUGAAAGGCCAGAGACCGAAAACGCCCGGCACAGUUAGAAUUGGCCCAAUGCCUAGCCCAAAACAUAGAAAUAGGCCCAGAAGCCCAGGCAAAGCCUAUUAUGGAAUGAAUCUAUAAACUCUUAUGAAUCCCCGUUUUCUUUUGUCCACGUGGCGUCAUUAGCUUAAUUUUAUUUUUGUGGGCCCUACCUGUCAUCUUAACCUUUUUUACUUAAUUAUUUAUUAUGGGGCCCACCUGAGUUUUUUUUUUUAUUUCCUUAUCUUUUUUCUUUAAUUUAUUCAACCAUUCGCCCCCCUCUACUCGCCCCUCUACAUGUCGAGGCCGCACUACCCUCUAGACGUCGCUCUGCCUCCCGAUGCCGCACUGCCCUCUAGACGCCGCUCUGCCUCCCGAUGCCGCACUACCCUCUAAACGUCGCUCCGCCUCCCGAUGCCGCAUUCCCCUCUAGACGCCGCUCCGCCUCCUGAUGUGCCCUACUGGACAGAAAUUUUGGCCGAGUUCGUCGUCGUAGACCGUCCGCCUCUCCACAGCUCCUCCCCUUCCAUUUUUUUUUUUUAUUCCCCAGCCGCCCCUAUGCGUCCUCAUUCUUCUUAGGCUCCGCAUCUCCACCUCUUCUCCUCCUCUUAACCCUCUCUCCCACUCCCUUUCCCUCUUCCUCUACAUCAUCCAACAUAUUUUUAAUGCCAUUUUUGUGGGAAAAAAGUAUACUCUUUUUUUUUUUUUUGCUGUAAAUUGUUCUUUUUUAGUUUAUUCGGGUUUUGGUAGGUGCAAAUAGGGUCUUGCGGCGGAGAGGGACGAGGCGUCGAGGGGAGUUUCUUCUGGUGGUGCUGGUGUUGAUUCUAUUGGAGGGAUGUUGGCAGGAUAUGGCAUGGUUCAUCUUCCUACCAAUUCUGUAGAUUUCAGGUGAAAUGCGCAUAUCGAGCCUUUUCCAUGUAAUAGUGCCAUUUUUGCAUGUUAUGUAUUACAGUAGUGUAGGCAAUUCUACUUUUUUUUUUUUUUUUUUGAGCUGUGAACUACAACAUUAAUUUAGCCCCUUAAUGCAUCUUUUUACUGUUGUCAUAUCGAGAUAUUUGGGUAAUAUAUUGAAUUAUGAAACCAGUGCAGUGCAAGGUAGUAAAGGCUCCUCCAAGAGCUUCCCGAAGCAUGAGACUAGACAUGUUUCAGAGCAUACGGUUUUGGAAUGAUAGUUUGUCACGCCUUUCGUGGUUUUCUCAAAAUCCUUCAAGUAACUGGGCCUUUUGUUAUAUUACUUGCUGACAGUAGCCUUGAGAAAGAAUGAACGAGAGCAACAUGUCCUCGAUUUCCUUACCUCCACCCUUCGCCUGAUAAGUUCGCCGCCCCCACGACGUCCGCCGAACUCGAAAUCAACAAUAGCACCACCCUCCGCUGAGCCGAGCCACUAUCGUAGCGAAUCCCCUCGCUUGUGGCAGCGACGUUGAGGGACAACUCCUUCGAUCUCUACCUCUCUUUGUUUUGCUCUAUAAUUAUGAUGUAUUUUCGGUGAUUUCGAGAUGAUUUAGGUGCAAGAUUGUAGGCAGCUGAGGAUUUGGCAUUGAAGAAUAUGUUGAAGGAGUUCUUGAUUCGGAGGUCGGCAUUCAGAAACUUGCCCUUGAAAGUAUGAGGUAAUUUUCUAAGUUUUGAUUUUAAUAAGCAAUAGUUCACUGUGUCUAAUUCCAUCUGUUUCUGAUCGUACAGUCCCAAAGCAAGAUUUGCUUCAAACUCCAAAUCAAAUUAUCACCUUAAUUUUUACUGCCAACCACCAUUAAAAAAGACAAAAAAUACAUAUAAAACAAAACAAAGGGAAAAAAAGUGAAAUACAUAUAAAAUCCACACUGAAACAAUGAUUUGCAGGGAAUUACAAAAGAGGUGCUGCUGUGUACUAGAUCAAAAUAAACAAAAUAAACGAAAUUGGAGCUAACUUGGAAAUUAAAAUAUGCGGCCUAGAGUGUAAUAUUGAUUGACUGGAAAAAUAAACAAUGGUUGAGCAAAACUAAACUAAUAACUAAACUUAUAGCUAACUCUGAAUUUAAAGUAUGCAGCCUAUAGUAUACUUUGAAUUGAAAACUACACUUUUAAUAGUUGAGCAAAACUAAACAAUGGAGAAAAUAAGAUACUAUAAAAAUAGACUAUAACAUCGAAACCAUGCUAUAUCAAAUAACUGAAAAGUUACAGAUUACAGCGAAAUAAAGUAAGGACCAAAGUGUCGGCCAGCUCAUAGUUUGAGACAAAUGUGCAAUUUACCCUAAAACUAAUAAUAACAAUUGACUCAACUACCCCCUCUUCAUUAUCUGUGCACAUGUAUAAUCUGUUCUAAUUAGGUACUAUGAAAUAUCACAUGUCGACCAUUAAUACCAAUACUAAUCUAUACUAUCUUAUUGACUUAGACAUAGGAAACAUUGACAAUAAGUACUACCUCCUCUAGCUAGCAACUCUCUCAGAUGAUGUUCUGUAAGGUUUUUGGCCUUAGGAUGCAGCUAAUUUUUUUUUACUUUUACCUUCCAAGAAGAAAGAUAGCAUGUUACUCGCUUUAUUCAUAAACAAAAUUUACUAAGCUAUAAAAGUAAGACAGAGAACGUAUACAGACCAACAAUUCGACUUUAGCAUGCUCAAAUUGCCAAUACCUUUUUGAGAGGAAACACAAAUCAUGUUAGUCUAGCAAUAGGAAUGAUAUUCCAAGUACUGAUAGCAAAAUUAGAAAAUUACAAAAUAAAACCAGGUUAGAAUACCUUCGAAAUAUCUGAGUGGUAAUUAAGAAAAAAAGAUAUUCCUUCAUCAUUAAUGGUCAAUAAACAUGUUUUCUCCUGCUGCAACAACUAUCAGUCAACUUAGCUGAUAAAGAGGCUUGAUUUCAAAACAACAUAGAACCUUCAAACUGCAAGUUUGCACUUUCCGAUAGGACCUUGAUGUGGCUAGAGUUGGACCGGCUUUGCUGAUAGCAAAGUAGCAUUGUGGAAAGUGCUUAUGUAUAUCUUUCUUGGCCUCAAAGAUGGUCAAGCAUCCAAAGCAUGCAAUGAAAUAAGUAACAUUAUCCAACAUCCACAUAUAUUAGAGAGGGGUUAGUUAAUAAUUUACUCGAAGUUUGUUCAAUAUCGCACAGUUUUAAUUCUGACAAUUUAAUCAUUGAAGUUUGCAUCGGAAAACUACUGUAUCCCUCUAUCUAGAGACCGUCUAAAUCCACAUAGUUUCAGUUUUGACAAUUUAAUCAUUGAAGUUUAUAUUGCAAAACCUAAGAAUCAUGAUGAUAGUGCAUCUCUUAAAGAAGAUAGACUACCAAGGACUAAAUUGCUAUGACAAACAAACUUUAAGUAACUAAAAUGGAACUCUCAGGAUACAGCUGAAAUUGGAUCUAAAUUCUAACUAUCUUUCAAAGUAACUGAAUAAAGAUAAGAGUUCAUUUACAGAAUCUUUCUAUGUGAGAGAUCAAAAAGACAGUAAACUGACUACAAAAGAAACAUAAUAAGCAGACUUUUCACUGAUGAAAGUGAUUCUUCCGGUAACAAUUAACACCAUUUUUUGGAAUUGCAUAAAUUUUGUUCGGUAUCCACAUUUCGUUUAUAGAAGUUAACAAUCUCAACCUAUUGGAUAUAUUCAACAUAACAAGUGCAUUUUUUUUUCUAAUUGAUGGCAAUUGGAUAUAUGCAGAUUCUAAAGCUGGAACUGUUCAGAUAGAUUUGCAGUAUAUAAUGGAUUUUUUUUCUAUGUAGAUUUUACCAGAAGAUCAAUUGACUUCAUGGAACAUAUAUGGGCAUACCGGUUCAGUUUUCAUUCCUUUAAUUUGUCUAAAUCAAAAUUGACAUGGAUGAAAUUGGUGUUGCUAAUGAUCUUGAUCCUAAAUAUAUUUCUUAUCACAUUAUUGCAUCAAAUUAAAGGAAUUGAUUUGAAUUUCAAUUUUGUUGCAAAAUCGCCAUGUCCGCCAACAAAAUAUUUCUCGGUAAUUCUCUUCAGUGUUUUCAACACCUUUUGAUACCGAACCUUCGAUGUUUCAGUAGAACCUACAUCGAAUUGAUCAAGGUAUGCUGAACUUAGAAAGAAAAGGAGAUUUGGAAAGAAUUGUUUAAUCAGAAAACUGACAUUUAGCUAGAAUUGUGUUGUUAGUCGACCCUUCUUCCCGUCGCGCCGGUCCCGUUAGCGACGCUUCGCUUCGUCUUAGUGAUCCCCUCCGGUCACGAAAAUGGAUCGGAUUCAUUCUCCACGCUCCCUUCUUGCUGCCUAUAUAAUAUGCCUCUGUAAAAAAAUUAUUUGCAGCAAAAAAAAAACUAUUUCUCUGCUGGUUCAGUAUCAACUAGGAUGGCAAUUACAAAAUAAUUACAACCGAUGAUUCUCCCCCAGCAAGGGAUACAUACGCGGCACCUUUUCUUGAAGACUGCUGAAAUGAGAAAAAUAAAUUUCUUGACUAUUGAUAAUAUUCAUUACAUGUCUCAGCCUAUAGUAAAAAUAGAAUUUUAUUAGCUGUUGUUCUUUUUUUUUUUUCUCAAAUUUCUACUGCUACUGCUUAUGCUAUUUUCUUCGUUUGUUUAUUGAAUAUUGUUUUCGAUUGUUCUAUUUUUCUUUCGCUUUGUUUGCUCUCUAUAUUAUUUUUCUCAAUUGUUGUGAUAGUGUUUUUUUACUAUUCCUAUUUAAAAUUAUUUGACUAUAAGUUCUGCAAUUUAUAUAUUUUAAUUAAUUUUGUAACUUGCUGCUUCACUUGAUUUUGUACUACUAUAGUCGUAUAUUUUUGGGACAGCCUGUUAGUAAUAUUUUAAAACCAACUUUUCCUAUUAAUCCUAUUUCAUUCUUUCCUUCAUUCCUUACUGACUAUUGCAUUUUCUUUUAACCAACUCUGCAAGCCUUUCUUCGACUUCUACAAAUCUAAAAUUCAUUGUAUUUAUGGUCGUUGCUACUACUGUUGCAUUAACUACUUACACUUUUAUUUAUUUGUUACUUAAAAUUUUUUAAUUCUUCUUAUAUAUUUACUAUUUCGUCUUACUUCUGCUUUUUCUACAGAAUCUCAAAUAUUUUUUCAAUUUAACUAUGCAUCAAAUUUUAUUCUCUUAGUUCUAUUUUUUUUACUCUUAUUUGUUCUCUAUGUUGGAAGUAUGAUAUAUUAUUUAUAUUGUAAGGAAGAUAAUCAAAUAUUAUAAUUUAAAGAGAAGAAAGAAUAAAUGUUUGUACAAAAACUAAAGUUAAAUAUCAAAUAUUAUAUAUCCGCUGCAUCGCGCGGGUUACUACACUAGUAUUAUUAUUACACUCAACCAUAAAAUUUGUUGGCAGAUGCAUACCAAAAUUAUCGGGCGAUGUGAGAUUUUAGAGGUGGCUCCUACAGGUUAGGACUUAGCUCUCACAAUAUUCGGCUCUGAUACCAAUUGUAACGAUUCGACCCGCUAGCAAUAACAACUCGUUGGGCCAAAAUCACCAACCUAAAAUGCUUUAGCCUAGUUAUUAUUACUAGCGUAUAGAUCUCAUAUAUUCUAAUCAGAAUUAGUUUCCCACAAAAUGUGGGACUAUUAGAGCAUUACAAAUAUAAAAUAAAACAUAACCGCCCCAAAUUUGUCCCGCUCUGACAAAAAAUAGAGCGGGAGGUGGGGGAACCCUCCCGUCCCGGGGUCCAUUCUUUUUGCAUUCCUAUGUUUGGUAUUGAGGCCUAUUUAAUGCUAUUGAGCCAAAAAGAGUUGGGCUAAAGCAUAUAGAAAUAUAAUUCUCCAUUUUCGGUAUAGCGGCAAACAUUAUCAAAUUAUAACAUAACCAAAUCAUUGUAAUAUACUAAAUACUUUUUAACCGAGACAGACCGAAUAUAUUUACUCAUCGCAUUCUCCUCAUACAUAAUGUAUAUAUUUUUUCUACAAUCCCAAGCAAAGCUUUAGAAUACUUUGGAAUUAGGGCAUAUGACAAAACCUUGCUGUACUUGGAUUGACGUAAUUGUGGUUUGGUUGAAAAUAGAUUUGGUGAGAGCGAAAAUACUAGUCUUGUAUUUUCACAAAAGAUAACUUUGAGCCAUUUCUGAGAGAAUUUGAUUUUAAGAAUCUAAGUAUCUGAUCCAAUAGUCGGCAUACACAAGAUUAAACAGUUGACGGACCUAUGGAAGAAAAAUUAGGCCGGAGAAGCGACCCAUCGGUUAACGUUAGAGGGUGACCCAACUGUAAACUUUUUUUUUUUUUUUUUUUUUUUUUUUCGCCAUCCUUUGAGGCCUGUGAUGCCUCACCCAUGUAGCUUAAUUCACUUUCUAACUGAAUGAAGCGGGUAGCGUGCUACAUUUCUCUCAAAAAAAAAGAAUUUAAGUAUCUGUCUACAUACUGAAUCUUCUCGGUAUCUUCAUGAUGGAUAGUAAGACUAAUAUUUCGACACUUAAUGAAGUUGAGAGAGAGAGAGAGAGAGAGAUCCACAAAGGGAUUUGUUAUCGAAUAUACAUGUAUUGACAAAUUUAUAUGGCAUUUUGGAUUGCAUAUAUGAAGCAAUCAAAAUUCUUCACAUCAUAUAUAUUAACAUAUUAAGGAUCCCCAAAAGCAGCAUUUUAAAUAAUGCAUGUUAACCAAAAGACCGAUAGAUAUGCAUGAUAGGAUACAGUCUAAAGAAUUAACACCCUCAUUCACGUGCAUGAUAGAGAUUAGGUAAAUUAUGUUAUGUGCUUUAAUAUGAGUAACAAAAUGGACAAUUAAAUAAUUGACAAGAAUAUAUGCCAGAAGAUAAGGGGUGUCGGAACUAAAACCUGGAACAUUUCAGAAUGAUGGGUGCUUAAGACUUUUUCUGAUAUCAUAUUAGUCGAAAGAUCAAUCUAAUAGAAAAUAGCUAAAAAUUAGUCUCAACAUGCAUGUACACCUCAAAUGUAUGGUCGAAAUUCUAAUUGUUUUAUAUUGUAUCAAAGCAGGAGGUCAUAAGUUCGAAAUAAACAUGUUCCCUUUCCCAUUUGAUUUUCUUUCCAUAAUUAGUUCAACCACAUCUUACGCUUAUCAAAAAUCUCAAGCCUAGACAUGCGGGAAGAAUUUAUAGAACAUAAAAUAGUAAAGCACAGUUCUCUACCAACUUGAAUUUCAGAUAUAAUCGCUCAUUGCACAUAUGAUAAAACGUGUAAGUACAUAACAAUACUCUAGCCACAGAUGUUACCGCACUAAUGGAAACAACUAAACGUGCCAACACAUACUAAAAAGGAAGCACACAAAUUAGUACUAUAUAUCUCUCAAUUGAUGUGCACCAAAAACAAAAGUUGUUUAAACUACAUAUCAGAGAACAAUAUUUUUAAUAUUUAUAUUCAACAAUGCUUAAUUAAUAUACAGAGAGAGAAAAAGAAGGCCUAAAUGCUAAGGUAUAUAAGAUAUAAGAUAGCAGUUAUUCUCUAAAAAUUUAAGCUAUUUAAGACUCCUCUCACAUCUGAACUCGAGAUUUUUUGAUAUGCCCAUAAUAUGGACUUAAAUUAAAUGGGAGUUAACUCAAUUAUAUUAGGGGUCCGACGGGACUCGAAUUUGAGACCUUCGACUCUGGUACCAUGUUAAAUUAAUUAUAUGAAAUAAUCGCUUUCUCUAAAAGUUUAAGCUUGUAAAAGAAUAAGAGAAAUGAUUCGGUACCUUUUAAAAAAUAAAAUAAAAAAAGAUCUUAACCGUUGAUUAAUUGAGGGUAAAAAUGUAAUUUUAAUACUUAGUAGGUAAAAGAAUUAUUUUAUUCAAGGUUAGUUUGGUAAUUAAAUAACACAUAUUUAAAGAAACUUUUAAUUGAGGUCCUUAAUUUAUGCAUUAAUUAGCACUAAUUAGGAAAUUAAUUGAUUAACCAAAUUUAUGCAAUUAUUAGGCAUUAAUUUAGGAAUCUACUUUAAAUGUUUUAGUGUUUCUCAAAUUAUGCAUUAAUUUAAAUUAUAGGAUUUAGAAAUAGUUUUAUUUCUAAAUACGAUGAAUUUAAAUUUUAAAAAUUAAAUACUUAAAAUUUAAAAGUGAAAUUUAAAUUAGAGGAAUUUCAUAUUACUAUUUAAAAACUAAAUUUCUACCAAGAUUUAAAAUACAAUUUAUUCGCACCAGUUUAAAAAGUAAUGUAUAAAAAACUUGGAGAGUAAGAUUUUUACAACUAGAUUUCUCUAGAGGAAUUUCAUAUUAUUAUUUAAAUUUAAAUUCAAUGAUUUAAAAACUAAAUUGAACCGAUUGAUUUGACUGAUCAGAUUUUGACCUAUUCUAUCAAGAAUCUGACUUUAACCUAUUGAACCGAAUAACAUCAAGAACAAUUUGAAACCAGUAAAGAUAAUAAAUAUUUUAAACAGAAUGAUAAUUUAACUGUUUGAGCUAAUAAAUAUUUUAAACAUAAUUUUAAAUAUAUAAAUUAAAAAUAGGAUUAUUGAUGAGAAAACAAAUAGUUAGGAAUUUGAAAUCGAAUCUGAUUAACAAUCACAAAACUUAUUUCCGAACUCAACGGAUUUCAAAAAUCCAUAUCCAAAUUCAAAACUGGCCAAUUUUUCGAAACCCAAAACCAAACCUAAACCAGAAGACCAUAAUUCAAACAAUUAUUUCUGUUUACCAUAUUUCAAAGUAUUUAUAUGAAACUUAAAUUUUUAAAAUAUAAACUUGAAUAUAAUAUUAAAUUUUAAAUUUAAAGUGAACUUUAAAUUAGAGGAUUUUCAUAUUACUAUUUAAAGUUUAAAUUCAAUGAUCAUAUUGUCAAAUCAUUUGAAAUUUUUCUUAUAUGAAAUACCAAAUUAUAAAAGGAAAGAUAGAGAGAGAGAAAAAGGAAAUAAAGAGGAAAUAAAAAUUUUGAAAAUAUAGUAGAUGUAAAAUGACUAAAUUGUCCAUGUAUUAAAAGACAAAAAUAUCUUUUUUUAAGGUACCUGGUAACCGGUACCUCUCCCAAAAUAACCUACUAUUGCAGGUCACAAUUUUAAAAAAACUAAAUCUGAGUCGUUGAACACGCGUGAAUGAACGGUAACAAAAAAAAAAAAGUAUAGAAGCAUUACUCAAAGAAUAAUAUUUUUAUAUUUUUAUAUUUAAGAAUAAAGACCAACCAAGGAGCCCUGAUUCCGGAAGAGACACUGUUCUUUGCACACAAAGGACAACAAAAGCUCAAAUUAGUCUCCCUCGAAGCUCUACAAGCGUGGAAAAAUUAGUAGCAAACUUAAUUAUAAUAAACUAAUAAAUGGAUUAUAUGGCUCCUUGAGACCACACCAUUGAUCACUAGUAGUAAUCUAAAGUAGUACGUAGUAUAGGGAUUUACUCUCAAAUCUCUUUAAUUAUUUUGUCCCUUUUAUAGAGCUUAGUCUCCUCAAAUAUAAGUGGCCUCCAUAUGAAGUGAUGAGUCACCAAUUACGACCUUUGUUACUUUGCAAUUAACUCAAUCAGUGCCCGUACGUGCACCUUCAAAUAUUUAAAUUAUUGCUACGCUUACACGAAAAGAUACUCUUAACUGAUAAGUCGGCAAAUUUAUGUGUCAAUCGAUUAGUAGCUCAAUAUAGAAUAGUUGAUUUAGUUUUUAAGACUAUUAGCUAACAUACAAGAUUGCUAACUCAUUAAAAACUUUAAAUUAAAGUUGUCCAUUCAUAAUAAUCGAGCAACUUUUUAGAUUUAGUUUUCGCGAACUAAUCAGCAGCAUUUGAGGGGACCUUCUAAGAUGCUUCAAGCCAGUAUUUAGACUUUUAUCUAACAUAUAUAUUUCUAUUGACUCGAGCAUUUGAGGGAAUCUUUUAGGGUACUCAAGAAGUAUCACCAUUGUGAUCUAAUAUUUUUUGUAACCUUUGGUCAGCUUGUAAUAUGUAGUGGGAUUUGCACUUUUUGACUCUUCUAACAACAAGCACAUCUUUUGAUAGCAUGCAUGUUCCAUUUGAAGAUUAGGAAAUGGGACUUCAUUUGGACUCUUGUUUGCUGAGAUUCAUUUUGUUAGCCAUGUUCCAACUUGAUGCUUUUCCUUAGCUAUGCAUGUUUAGCCCAUGCAAUAGAGUAAUGCAAUGCUUAUCGAUAAAUUUACGGUACUUUACAAACUUACAUAAUAUGAGACUGUAUUUACUUGGGAAGCCGUAGAAUCGUGAAGAGGUAAUUAAACAUAAUUUUACGACUCCAAGUUUGAAAUCCGACCCUUAAAUUGUGUAGCUUGUAAACUGUUGUCAGAUUUAUUAGUAAACAUGGCAUCAGUACUCCCAUGCAAUCAAUACUCCCAUGCAAUACACAUGUUGAGUAUUGAAUAUAAAAUAUAUAAACACCGUUCUCUGACAGUUUAAACUAUUAGAGAUAAACGAUUGUUUUAUAUAAUUUAACAUGACACUAGAGCAAAUAUUAGAGAUAAAUGGUUAUUUCAUAUAAUUUAACUCUGAGGAGUACCUCAAAAUACAAUAUUGGAUGCUUCUUGGGCAUUAAAUUGGUAUCUUUGAGCUCUACUUGAUAGAGAAACUAGUUUAAUUAAUUUCUCCUUGCAUUUUAGAAAAGCAUUGCUAAGAGCAUGUUUAAUCCGAACAUUAGAGCUUCUUUAUAAAUGUGUUAAUUGUUCGAGCAUUGCUAUUCGAAGAAACACUAACAUUUUUUUCCCAUUAGAAUCAAAAGUUUUUAAUUGGAUAGCAUUUUCUUUGGGCUCUUUUGCUUUUUCUCUAUAUUACCUAUCUUCUUUUUUUUCUCAUGCAAAAAAUGUUGUUCCAUAAGCUAGUCCAAAGAGAUACUAAAGCUUGUAGAAUUAAUAUCUGCUAAACUAUAUAUUUCGAUAUCAUUUUAUUAGGAGAUGAAUAAUCCAAUAUCUAGUCAUAGGAAAAUAAUUUUAGACAUCAAUUGUAAGGUUUUGUGGUAUUGUAUUAAUUAAUACUAUUAAAAAAAAAGGGCAAUUGCUUAUAUACUCUUGAAAAGUUUCCGACUUUUCUUAUUUGCCCUUAAGUCAGGGGUACAAAAAGUAUUUUGAAUUUUGGUAUUUUCAAAUAUACCCUUCUACCAUUCCAACAUUUCUUAUUUGCCCUUAAGUUAAGGUCAAAAGAGGCAUUUUAAUUUUUUUUUUAACUCUAGUAAAUAUUUAACUCACGUUUAAUUCAAGUUAAUUUAAUAGGUGGUAACUACAGGGGUUUUUUUGAAUAACGGAGAAACAUAUAAAAGGUAUAUUAGAAAGAAAAAAAAAAAGUGGUAAAUGAGAUAUUUGUGAAGUUUUGAGGGGUAUAUAAGCAAUUAUCCCUAAAAUACAAAAAACUAAACUAUCUAAUAAUUAGCUAUCCUGAUAAAAAUAGUUAGCAUGCUGAUUGGUAGUAUUACUAUCACAUAUAUUAAAUAAUAUGAAACAACAGUUUAACUUGUAGAGAUAUUAAAAGAUAUGAAACAGUCGUUAUUCUUCAAAAGAUUAAGCUUGUAGAGAACGGUGUUUUUAUAUAUUUAUAUUUAAUACUCCCCUCACGUUUGGGCUGGAGACAUUUUAAUAGACCCAAGAUGUGGACUUAAUUACAUAGGAGAAAAUUAAGUCACGCUAAAAGUCCGGUGAGAUUUGAACUCAAAAUCUUCUGCUCUGAUAUCAUCAUAAAAAAUAUGAAACAAACCAUUAUUCUAUAAAAAUUUAAGCGCAUAAAAAAAAUAGUAUUCUUGUACUUUUAUAUGUAACACAUAUUGCAUUAACUGUCUUCUAACUGUUAUACCUGCAUGGCUGCAUCUGUGCAUUAUUGAAUCAAGCAUUUAAUUAAAUAUGAUCCUCAUUCAACUCAUAAAUGUAACUAAAAUCUCACUGAGAUCUAUUUGAUUCCAUUUGCACAAGAAACAAAUAAAGAAUAGUUUUUCCUUUUUUUAAUUUUAAGAGUAGGAUAUGUCUUGUGAUCUUCUUUGCCAUUAUGUAGGAUGGAGUACUCUCAAUGAUAUAUCCUAGCUAAAAAAUAGACCUAGCAUAACACAUGCCAUGCAAUUUUUAUCUCUACAUUUUAUUUUUGAAAGCAAGCAUAUAUUUAUCUCUAGAUUAGUUAUUUAACAAAUAUAGGGAGUGCACAGAUAUACCUAUGCAACAUAGGGCUUGAGCAAGCAAUAGGACAAGUUGUGUAGGAUACUACAAAUCCAUUUCACUUUAUUAUAUUAAGUGUUACUGUUUAAUUAAUAUCAUGGGUUGCAACUUGCAGUGAUGAGGACCCUCUAUUGUCUUGCAUUUGCAUAUGCUUUUAUUCCAAGUUAGGGUUAAUUUAUCAGGGGCUAUUUAAUUAUAUCUGUAAGUAUACUGUUCUCUCAUGAGAUAUAGUUUUAUAGCUCUAUAAAACUAUAUAUAUAUAUAUAGAGAGAGAGAGAGAGAGAGAGAUAUGCUAGAAUACUAUUAAUAGUGCGAUACUAUCCACUUUGUAAUCAUUGGAUGUCUAUGAUUGAGUAUGUAGUUGGAGUGGUAAUGAUCCAAGGGUGGAAAAGUGGAUAGUAUUAUUAAUAAUAGUAUCCUAGGUGAACUAUAUAGAGAGAGAUCGAGUGAGAAAGUCCAGCUACUAUACUCUUAUAAUUUUAAAAAAUUACAAAAUUUAUUUUUUAGAAGUUUCAAAUGCUCCAU